rnacentral:lncRNA from 1 species
UGGGGUUUCAGCGAUACAUAGAUAACGAUGCUUCUUAGAGCUUUAUUAUAGCGAGUGAGGAUGGCGCUAACUUUGUUUGAUGUUUUACAAACUGACUGAUAGUCGCAGUUUUAUUUUGCGUGCAUUAGGAGUUGUGAUGUUUGAUGCGCUUGGCAUGUAGUAGAAGAGCUGAUUAAACUUGUCCUUGAUGUGUACAACCUUGUGAUUUGCCGCUGACUUUGUUCACAUUACGGACUUCGGAGUGUUCAUUGCAAGUCUCUGUUCUGUUACUGCUGUAAUAGUAGCCCACCUGUGAAGGCAUUGUCUCCAACUGUCUUAGCGUUCGACUGCUUUAUUUUCAUGUUGAGAGAAUGGAGUUUAACUCGGAUGAUACUGCUUGCUGCAUAAUUGAUGUUCAUUUUCCAAACUGAAUUAGUGAGAUGGGUAUGAUUGCAAUUGAAUAAUUCUUGUUCUGUAUCAUGAGUUCAUAUCUAAAUAAACUGCGGCUUAUUAGUGCCACCGCAUUGCUGUCAACGUGCCAAGGAUGUUGCAAAAUUCCCCGCAUUUUUGUAAACUACUCCCUCUGUCCAAUAAUAUUAUCAGACGGAGGGAGUACCUAUUUGAACAUGGCAAGAAUAAUGAUAGUAUCGGAAGUUAAACUUAGUUUCAUUGCAUCCAUAGGCUGUGGAUGCUCUAAGGAGGCAUCAUCUUCUGUGCCAUCAGGCUGGUUGCAACCGCCUUUAACCAGGAAGCCUGUGUUUAAUUCUCUUUUCUUUACGGGCUGACUUCCUGAUCGAAGCAACAUCUUUCACCUCGCGGGGGAAAAGAUCUUGAAUCCAUAUGCCAUUCAUGGGAGAAGAACAAAGGAGGAUGUAGAUCAUACAGUGGCGGCCAAAGCGUUUCCUUUGGAUGAAGUGGUGUUCUCGGUGUUUGCUGUAUGCAUUGUAACAUAUGAUGUAUCCUGGGGAUAUAUAUAUAUAGAGAGAGAUCUAGAGAUGUAAUGGCCAUGUGUAGACCUAGCUGUAAAUUAUGCAGCCCUUAGGUACAAACCUGAGUGUCCUGGCUUGUUGUGCUCUCAACCACAUGUAGCCAUGAUACAACUGAUUUGUUUACGAGCAUUGGGAUGCCCUCGCAGAAGGAAAAAGUAAAACCCAAGAGUCAAGAAAAAAAGAAAAACUAAUGAUACUUCCUUAGAACCACACGACAAUCGUGGUUAGCCACUUAAACCUGAUAUCAACAAUAGAUGACGGUUCCAUAGAGCAUCUACAUCCCCUGGAGAUAAACCUCUAUAUAUCUCCUGUAGGAAAAUAAUACUAGCUCUACAUCACCCUUUUUAGUCUUCCCGACUCCAUUGAUAUCAUAUGAACCAACCUGUGGUUGGAUUGUUAGGAGAACAAUGGUAUCCACAGUCCACCAGAGUUGUCUUAAAGAAACAAAGUCCAUUGAUAUCAUUAUAAUAGUAAUAACCAAGUAACUAAAUUGAAGUAGUUAAGAAGAAAUUCAUAGAAUUUAUUCUCUUUGAGAGAAAGAAAGCUAGUUUAAGAUGAAAGGAAGCAAGGUAACUUUACGCGCCUUGAUUAGUACUACUAAACAUUGUUCAUGGCACGUUUUCCUGAUCUUGGCAUGCACUGCACAUAGCGUGAUCCUUUCCAUGCACUUGUUGAAACAGAAUUGCUUCUUUAGACAUCUUAUCUUUUACUCUUAUUUUGGGAAACCCUAGCCGCUGUCCCCUCUACCACACCUCCUCCCAUCCUCUCGUCUCGCAGCCGCCGGAGCUCGCUGGCGGGCAAAGCUCAGUCGGUGGCGGCGGGGCAUCCUCUUCUCUUCGUGCGGGGCCGGGCAGCGCGUGACACGUUCUUCGCGCGGGGGCGCGUCGCUACGCGAGGCACGGCGGUGCAGGCGGCUGAGCCUCGGUAUGGAGGGUUGCUUGGCAGUGGUGGUGGCGGCGGCUAGUGCGUGGUGGCGGUGGACCAGGCCAGAUCGGAUCUGGAGGGUUCCUGGCGGUGGGCGGCGCGUGGGUGGGCAGCGACUUAGUAGGGUCUCUUUGGCCAUGGCCACGAUAGCGUGCAGGCCGUUGUUGUAGGGGUUCCAUGGCUGCUGGUCAGAUCCGCCCAGAUCUGACCCUAGGCGCCGACAGGCGGCUCGGGGUGGUGGCCGCGGACUCCUGGUUGGAUGUGGCUGCUUGGAUGUGGGCUGCAACGGCGUGGUGGCAGUCCAUGGCAGUGGGUUGGGUCGUUCCAUGAUGGCGGCUGGACAUCUCCGGCGUCGGUCGUCGGGGAGCGGCUCUUGCGGUGGCGACCUUCUUCCUGCGUCGGCUCGUCCGUAGGCGGCCCGUGGAGGCCUUCGAUCCCUCUCCUUGUCGUCCUGGCGCUACUUUUGUCGAAGGGCUGACCCUCUCCCAGUUGCGAUCCAUCGCCCGUCUCGCGCCCAGUGCUGCAGCACCGAGCUCGUCUUUCGCCUAGCAGCAGGACCAAUCUCGUCUCGCGCCCGGCAGCAGGACUGGCAUCGUCUCGCGCCCGGUGCUGCAGGACGGGUCGAUGGAGGCCAGUUUUGGCCGGCCUAGUGGUCUCAGCGCCGGGGGUCGCACAGGGGUGUGAAAGGCGGAACCUUUUCGCUCGUCUCUUUGGCUGGGUUAGCGGCGGGCCUCAGGUGAGGUGGUGUCAAGGUCUUGGAUGCCAGGGCGGCGGCCCUGGUGGUGGUAGCAUGAUGCUCUUGGGCAGAGCCCGUGGCUUGGUGCUGCCCGGUGGCCAUGGCCGUGAGGGCGGUGUGGUAGCUGGGGUGUGGAGUUCGGUGGCGAUGAGUAUUGGCCGGCGUGAAAACCUGUUCUAUCUUUGGCUGGACCGGCGACGGCGAAGCUCGUUCCCUUCUUGAAGGUGUCGCCGUGGCUCUCAUUGCCCAUCGUGUUGCUCCAGGGGAAACUCUAAUCCUUGGUUAGGACGGUGGCGGCGCUUUGGUAUUGUAACCUUCCUGAAGGCACCGCCUUGGAGCCCACGGUUCGUCAUAUGUGGCUUCAUCUCUUCGCGGUGGUGUGUUCACGGUUGAGGACCCCGGUUGCUCAUGUAGUGCUAGGGGCGGUGUUGCUACGCUCAACGCCUAUAUAUGUAUCCUGCCUUGGGUGUGUGCAUGUGUUGUGGUGGCAUGCGUUUGUACUGGGUUGUUGUUGAUCGUUGCUGUAUAUAUAAAGCGGGGUGAAAGCCUUUUCAGUAAAUGACUAAUAUAACUAAGUAUAAACCCCCCCUAUUUGCAUCCAUAAACACUUACAUUUGAGUAAGGAUAGAGCAAUUAUGAUAUGGUGAGUACAACUUCCAAACUGCUGGUUCAGUUGUCCCACGGUCCAGCCGCACAGAGAAAACAAAGGUACUUUCAGCAAUGGUGGCAAGAACCGCGGGUGCCCGCGGCGGAGUGGCUACAAGCAACAGAGUGGCAGCGACUAGCGGGUUGGUAGUGGUUGACAAUGUGAUGGCUAGCGGAGGUGCAAAUGGAGGAGGUGGGGGCGGGUCCUGGGGCGGAGAUGACCAAUGGAGAUCUAGUACUCAGGGCAUCGUUUGCGGUUGUUCAACGCUGCAUAGACAAGCGAGGGAGUUGUUGGGCUCGCAUGCUACCUUAGUCAAACUCAAGCUAUAACCAAGCCAAGUUCAAGUGCGGACACAUAAGCUUAGACGGGCCUGGUGAAGCAGGUCCACGAGCGGGCUCGGCUUGGAUUCUUUCCAACCCAACCAACAACCUCAAGCGAGACAACCAACAUUUAGCUUUCUAUUUUCACAUGGUGGAUUAGUGACAAUAGCUACAUUUUCCCCUAUGCCUCUCAAUCCGGUUACCAAAUCCGUGCACCUCAGAUGGGUAACAUAUCUUGAAUCCGUAUGCCAUAGGAGAGGAACAAAGUAGGAUGUAGAUCAUACCGGGGUGACAGGGUGCUAAUUGUUGCAUGCAUUGCAAGAAAUGAUGUAUCAUGUGGAUAUAUAGAGAGAUGUAAUGGCCACGUGGGCCGACCUAGAUAGUAUGUAUCAUGAAAGUACAAACUUAAAUGUCCUGACUCAUACAGCUCUCAACCACCUGCAAACAAUGCUAUAAUUGUUCCAUUGACGAGCAUUGAGAUUCCCUCACCCCUCACCCCACCCACAUAGGCACACGGAACGGGACGAGAUGAAACACAUAGUGAGGUUCAUAACCAGGUUUUGCAAUCCAGGAUGACUAUGAGACUUCAACACAGACUAUAAAUUGUUUAACCAGCCAGGUACACAUCCCCCUCAUGCUCAAUUUUGUGCCACACCUCAUCCAGCUCCACAUCCUAAAAUGGCUGAAGUAGGGAUUACAAGGCCACCUGUUCCUACUACACAAAUUACCGACCCAAUGUUUCUAGUCAGCCACACCAUAUGUCUGGGAGAACCAACGAGCUUUUGCUGUCUAAGAUCAAGAGGCUAGUCGGUACUUGUCAGUGGCUCAGUGCCUACGCAAAUAAGAAUAGGACCUGACAUCGAGCCGCUAGCAAGAAAGCUAAUUUUCUUGGCAAAUCUAAGUGGUGAACCAGGCAACCAUGGGAGAAAUCUUGCACUGUGAAAACAAAUUCAUCAGCGAUUCCUUUAGGGCAGCCGUAUGAGAGAUUGACAUACACAUGCCAAUAAAUAUUCUUUGCCGGGCCAAUCCUGAGCACCACUGGCAUAAACGAAGAAAAUAAUGAGGUGGGCACAAGAGUGCGCCCUGAGGGAAACAGAGAUCCCAACUCCCACCAGAGGGACAUCCGUGGCAAGAAGGCUCGGACAAGCUCCUUCCCAUUGUUUGAGCCUAGGAAUUUCUAGAAGAACCAGUUUUGUUGGCAAGUGACUUUUACCUGCUGUUUUACUGUCUCUAUGUCGUCUGCUCAAGCCCCACCAUGACAGUGGGGGUGAAGAUAUGGAGAACUGCUGAAACAGUUGCUCCUUCGGGGCAACAAUGAUACAGAGACGACGAUGAUCUUUAGAUCUUUAUAGUGAGCGAGGAUGGUGCUAACUUUGUUUGAUGUUUACGAACUGACUAAUAACCGUCGUUUUUUUCUUUCGCAUGCGUUAGGAGUUCAGUUGUUUGGUGCGCUUAAUAGGUAGUAGAAGAGUUGAUUAAACUGUUCAUGGUGUGAAGAACCUUUUGAUUUGCAGCUGACUUUGUUCACAUUGCGGACUUUGGAGUGUUCAUUCUGUUACUGUGGUAAUCGUUACCCACGUGUGAAGGCAUCAUCUCCAACUGUCUUAGUGUUUGAUUGUUUCUCUUCCAGUUGUGUUUGAGGGAAUGAAUUAACCCAGGUGAUAUUGUUUGUUCUGUGCUGUUGUUCAUCUGUCAAACGUUUGUGAUUACAGUUGAGCAAGUAUUGUUUUGUAUCAUGAAUUCAUGACUAAUGUAGUAGCAGAAGUUAAACAUAGCUUCAUGCAUCCAUAGGUUAUGGAUACUACAAGGAAGCAUCAUCAGGUGCACGAGCAGCCUGUACAGUCCAACAUCUUGAUCGAAGCAACACCUUUCCCAAUACCUCGCAAUCCGGUUAUGCUUCACCUCAUGCGGUAAACAUAUCUUGAAUCCAUAUACCAUUGGAGAAGAACAAUGGAGGAUGUAGAUAAUACUUUUGGUGGCUAUGUCGUGGCCAGGCUGUUUGUGCUAUGCAUUGCAGGACAUGUUGUACCCUGGGGGAUAUAUAUAUAGAGAGAGCUAGGGAUUUGAUGGCCAUGUGUAGAGCUAACCAUAACUUAUGCAACCCGUAGGCACAAACCUGAAUGUCCUGGCUUGUAGAGCUCUCAAACACCACCAGCCAUGAUACAAUCGACUCACCAACGGGCAUUGAGACGCCCUCAUAAAAGGCAAAAUAAAAACCCGAGAGGCAACAAAAUCCGAAGAUACUUUGUUAGAACCGCACGACAAUCGUGGUUAGCAUCUCAAAACUGAUGUCAACAAUAGAUGACGGUUCCUUGGAGCAUCCGCAACCCUUGGGGCUAAACCUCUAUACGUCUCUCCAAUAGAAAAAACACAGACCUAUCUUACUCCAUUGAUAUCAUCAUCGUAGUAAUAACAAAGUAAUUGAGUUCAAGUGGUUCCUUAGAUAAGAAGAAAUUCACAUAAUUUAUCCUUGUUGAUGGAAAGAAAACUAGUUUAAGAUGAAAAGUAAGUGCUCGUGGAUGUGACCACAAUGAAGCAUGCCCCUUUGCAGUCAAUCUGUCGAAUCUUUCGUGCAUAUUUUCUGUCAAUGCCCGUCCUCUGUCGAAACAUGAUUUAAGCCUAGCCUAAUAUGCAUUGAUUAACAAAGGUGUUAUUAAAUGAUAUGAAUAAAUAAUAGUACUGAACUAAACCUUCACUUUUUUGCAUCCAUACAAAUUCCAUUUGAUUAACCAUGGAACAGUUAUUAUAUGAUGAGUACAAGUUCCAAACUAUCACACAAAACUUCAGAAUGCUUGAGCGCAUGAUACCCUGGAAUCAUGAAAUGAAGACCUGAAAGAAUUUAUAGGUUGUACUCCCUUCGUAAAGAAAUAUAAGAGCGUUUAGAUGAGUGCGGCUAAUCUGCACCCGGGCUCAUCUGCACCCCCGCUUAAAAAAAAUUCAAAAAAAAUACUAGAAAAAUUCAAAAAAUUCCAAUUUUUUGUGGUGGCAGAUAAUUUGACGCGUGAGGUGCGCACCAAAAUUCAACUCAUUUGAGCAUCUGAGCAGCUCUCGGCAAAAAAGACAAAAUCAGGGUCUGUAAAAAUGUUUACUGUUCAUGCACUGUUUUGACCCGAUUUGUCUUUUUUGCCGACAGCUGCUCAGAUGUCCAAAUAAGUUGAAUUUUGGUGCGCACCUCACGCGUCUAAUUAUCUACCACCACAAAAAAAAUUGGAAUUUUUUGAAUUUUUCUAGUAUUUUUUUUAAAUUUUUUGCUGAGAGGGAGCAGAUGAGCCCGGGCACCGUUUUGAGUUUUCCCGUUUAGAUCACUAAACUUUCUUAUAUUUCUUUAUAGAGGGAGUAGUUGAUAGACAAGUUAGAUAGGCCAUGAUGGAGUGGCGGUGACUGGCGGAUGGCACUGAGGUGGAAAGAGCGGCAGUGGCCGGCAGAGUGGAAACAACCAGUGGUGGAACACAUGGUUGGGUGGGGCCAACGACCACUCUAACAUGCAUGCAUUGAGUGCGGGGGUUUGUUUCAGAACAAGAGCUCGUGCGCCGGUGCAUGAGAAAAAAACUGAGCAUGGGAGGAAGUUUUGCUAGGCCCGCAGGCAGACCGAGUGAAACUCAAGCUUUGACCAAGUCGAAUCCAAGUCCAACUUUUAUGGCUUAGAUGAGCCUUGCAAAGCAGAGCCAUGAGCUAGCUCGGCUCGACUUGUUUUCAAACGCAAGGAGCAACCUCUAGCCAGACAAUCAGUGUUUAACUUUUCUUUUUCAUCGAAAAAGGCUUUCGCCCCACUUUAUAUAUAAAGAAAAUCGUCACAAGCACAACCGGCAUCCAAUAGGAUAGUAGCACAACACACAACACACACCACACACACACACACACACACACACACACACACACACACAAGUUCGCACAAGAAAAGUAUUCUGCUGAGGGCACCACCACAAGAAGCCCUAAGAAACAAAAGCGGUACAUGCCGCGAGGGCGCUCCGUAGAGCUAGUUCAGAUCUUCCCUUUUUCACACAGUGGAGUAUGGAUGGUAGCUACAUUUUUUCCAAUGACUCUCAAUCCAACUUCCAUUCAUCUCUUCAGGGAAAUAGAUCUUGAAUUCAUGUGGUGUUGGAGAAGAACAAAGAAGGAUNNNNNNNNNNNNNNNNNNNNNNNNNNNNNNNNNNNNNNNNNNNNNNNNNNNNNNNNNNNNNNNNNNNNNNNNNNNNNNNNNNNNNNNNNNNNNNNNNNNNNNNNNNNNNNNNNNNNNNNNNNNNNNNNNNNNNNNNNNNNNNNNNNNNNNNNNNNNNNNNNNNNNNNNNNNNNNNNNNNNNNNNNNNNNNNNNNNNNNNNNNNNNNNNNNNNNNNNNNNNNNNNNNNNNNNNNNNNNNNNNNNNNNNNNNNNNNNNNNNNNNNNNNNNNNNNNNNNNNNNNNNNNNNNNNNNNNNNNNNNNNNNNNNNNNNNNNNNNNNNNGGGAGGUGUAUAUAUAGAGAGAUCUGGGCAUGUAAUUGCCAUGUGAAGACCUAGCGAAAUAUUACCUCUGUCCCAAAUGACUUGCCUUAAAUUUGUUUAGGUACCGAUGUACCUAACACUAAAACAUGUUCAAAUAUUUUUUUUUCAAAAGUAGCACGUUUUUUAUAGCAAUUUUGAAAACUAGCGGUGCUAACACGUUAUUUGCCAAACUAGCACCCCGUCAGUCAGCCGUUGGCCGAAGAGUGACUCUUCAGUCAGGUGUUGGCCGAAGAGUGUGUUUUCGGUCUGGCGUUGGCCGAAGACCUGCGGUGUCUUCGGCCAGCAGAUGGCCGAAGAGUGCUUUUCUGUCAUUUGUUGGCCGAAGAGUUCAUACUCUUUACGUUAACACCUGACCGAAGUUCCAUGGGAUUACUCUUCGGCUUACACAAGAGAACGGAGAACAUGCACCAACGGACAACACCAACGCCACCCCCUCGGCGGCACGAAGCUGCACCUCCUCCUCACCAGCCAAACCGCCUCCUCCUCCUCACCCCAUCAUGACUCUAACUCACUUGUACGCACAAAUAACUAUUCCAUAGAAAAAAAAUGACCGUAGGCCGGUGGAGAUGGCUACGAUAUACCAUUUCUGUGGUUUGGAUUCAAAAAUAGGUGGAGAAACGAAGAGAUCAGGGGGUGGGGGGGACGUACAGAGAGGAACCAAAGAGAGAGAGAGAGAGCAAGAACAACGAGACGAAAAAAGAAACCAGCUCGGGCCUUAUCCAAAGGUCUUCGGCCACUCAUUAGCCGAAAAGGUUUUCGGCCACGGGCUGGCCGAAGAGGCCCGUCUUCGGCCCAGCUCACACACUUUUCGGCUUACGUGUAACCGAAGAGUCCUCUUCGGGCUUCGGCUGGUCAGAAAGGCCCUCAUCGGCCAACGGUUGACCGACGGGGUGCUAGUUUUGCAAAUAACGUGUUAACACUGCUAGUUUUCUAAAUUGCUAUAAUAAAUGUGCUACUUUUGAAAAAAAAAUUCAAAUACAUCACUAUUUAGAACAAUCUAAGACAAAUAAUUCGGGAAGGAGGGAGUAAUAUGUAGCCUGCAGGUACAAACUGGAAUGUCAUGGCUUGUACAUGUCUCAACCACCCGCAGCCAAUGAUACAAGUCCACACACACAUGCACACGCACACGCGCGCGCGCACACACACAUACAUACCACAUAGACACAUACACGCACGCACUCACUCACACACACACACACACACACACGCACGCACACACACACAGGAUGCAUCAUAAUGUGAGGAUGCUUCCUUGCGUGACAAAGGAGGUAAGUCAUCCUAAAACUGGUAUAAAAAUAUAGGAUGCCUCUUAACAUCCACUAUUGGUUGCUUCAUCAAACAUGAAAUGCAGUUUAUCCAAAUUGAAAAGGUACAAUUUAGAUAUACGAGACCAGAACACACUUCUUAACACUGAUAUCAAUAUAUUAUGAAGCCACCGCACAUGACACAAUUUAUUCAACAACUACCUCUAGCAAGGACACAAUUGAUUCGCUUACUUGCAUUAGGAUGCCCUCACAUAAAGAAAAAUAAAAAAUGGAGAGGCAACAAAAACUGAGGACAUUUCCUUAGAAUUGCACAACAAAGCUCGGUUGGCAAUCUCAAAACUGAUCUCAACAAAAGAUUACGGUUCCUUAGAGCAUUAAUUCACAAUCCUUGGAGCUGAACCUCUAUAUAUCUGUCAUGUUAAAAGACGUAUCUCCUAAACACCGUUUUAGUCUUCUUUAACCCCACCAAUAUCACCAUUGUACCAAUAACUGAGUAAAUAAAUUUAAGAUUUUUUGGUUAAGAAGAAAUUCAUAGGAUUUAUCCUUGUUGAGAGAAAGAAAGCUAUAGUUUUAAGAUGAAAAAGAAGUCAGGUAAAUUUAUGCGCUUUGAUUACUACUAAACAUUCUUCAUGGCAUUUUCCCCUGAUCAGCUUGGUAUGCUGCAAAUCGCGAUCCUUUGCAUGCACUUGCUGAAACAAAUUGCUGCACUAGUCAUCUCUUUCUUUACUUGCUAUCAUUUCACCGCGUACUUCAUAGUAGCUAAGGAUACGUGAGCUCACAAGGUGUGAAAUAAGAAUAAGACCAAUCGAGACUUCAAAUGGGACAAUUUGAGCUGUAGAUCAUAAUGCCCAUUUGAAGGUAAAUCUCAACCAUAGAUGACUACUAGCACUAAACAUAAACCUUUCCUUCUUUGCAUUCACAAAUUUUUCAGUUGAGUACGUAUUGAGCAAUUAUGAUAUGGCGAGUACAACUUUCAAACUACUGGUUCAGUUGUUCAUGCGGCUCCGUCGUGUAGAGAAUGCAGAGGACGGUCAGCAAUGCUGGCAAGAACAACGAGUGACCGAGGUGGAGUAGCUACGUGCGAGGGAAUGGCUCCCAUUGGAGGAUUGACUGUGGUUAACGGAGUGGUGCUGGCUGGCCAAGGAGCAGACGGACGGGGUGGGAGCCGGCUGUGGAGUGGAGAUGCCUGACAGGGCUCUAGGAUUUCGUGCAUUGCAUGCUGGGGUCGGGAUCAGGAGAAGAGCAGAUACACGGGUACAGUGACAAGCAGCGGGAGUCGUUGGGCUUGCGUGCAGCUCUCGCCGAACUCAAGCUUUGACAUGGCCGAGUUCAAGCUUAGUUUUGUGAGUUUUGACGAGCCUGGACGAGGCAAGUCAUGACCCCGCUCGACAUGGCUUGUUUCCACCCCAUAAGCUAGAGAGACAUCAUUUAGCUUUCUUGUCACCGAGAGGGUUGUUGAUGGAUGCUACAUUUUUCCCAAUACCUUACAAUCCAAUUACAAUUUACCACAACCGGGUAAUAUAUCUAUGAAUCCAUAUACAUAGAAGAAGAACAAAGGAGGAUGUAGAUCAUAUUGUGGUGGCCUGCAUGCUAAUUCCUGCACACAUUGCAAGAGAUGAUGUAUCUUGGGGAAUACAUAUAUAGAGUUGGGCAUGUAAUGGCCAUGUGCUAGCUAAAAAUCAUGUAUUCAGCAGGUACACACAUAAUGUCCUGACUUGUAGAGCUCUUAAAACCAUCGUCAGCCAAUAAUGAUAGAAUCAGUUCGUUAUGAGCAUUGGAGUGCCCUCAUAAAGAAAAAAACUCUUUAGAUGCAGGACACAUGGAGGAGGAUGCUUCUUUACAUCUGCACAAUAGUAUGGUUAGGCCAACCCCAAUGCGGAUCACCAAAACAGACAUUACCAAAUCUCUGCGGGCAGACGCCGUUUAACCGGAGUCACCAAAUAUCUGGUCAAAUCCGAACAGAUAUUUAACAAAAGCCGAUGAAAUUCAUACAACCAGUAGGACAAAAAUUAACAAAGUUUGAAUUAACCGGAAAAAAAAAAUCAAAACUACACUCGAGAUACAGGACGAUGACCUUGUACGCAUGGUCCCUGAGACAGCCGACACCAUAGUCCUUGUCUGCGCCGUCGCCACUGCCGUCAGAGCCGUCAUAUUCAACGUGCUUUCAGUCCACAGGAACAUUGGCAAGCAUCGCGACAACCCUCAUUGGUUACUGCUGCACAAUUGCGGUCCAGUAAGUUGGCCUCCUUCGCCUAGGCAGCGCCUUGGCCGCCUCGGUGGGGAGCCGGAUCCCCUGACGUACGGCCACCUGACGUUGGGCCACUGACGCGUGGAUCCGGGUCCACACGUCAGCGAGUGCGCCGUACGUCAGAGGAGCUGCGUCCCCUCGGUGGUGCCGACACAACCGUGGACUCAGUCGCGCGCAGCACACAUUUGAGCCGGUCCAAGCACUCGGACUCGGCCAACCCCACUUUGAGGAGCUGGUCGCUGAUCUGGCACCCGCCACAAGUGGUGGUCUGCGCGGUGUUCCUGGACCGGUCAAUGCCUAGGCCUUCGCGACUGCACACCUCGCGAACGACACCCGAUGGUAUGCGUUUCAUCACUACUAGAGCGCCGCCUCACAGGCCACCAUGGAGGACACCAUCAUUCUUGAAGACGAGCUGUUGCCACCGAGGUAGUAGGCGAGGUGUCUGCGCUGUAAAAAUUAUUGAAUGAUUGUGUUGUUAUGUGUUGUUGUAUUGAUCUAACACUCGUAGGGGUAUAUAUAAAGUACAACAUGCGAUGAGACUUGGAGUACAAGACAAGUCAUAGUAUAUUAAAACUAAUUCUAUCUCCAUCUCUCCUUAUCUCUAACUGAACACGUUUAUAUUAUUACAUUCCCCCUCACUCGUAGCGGGUCGCCGGAGUGAAGCGGACAAGUACGACUGAAUUUGAAGUCUUGUGCUUCCGUCGUCUUCUCCGCUGCGCCAUCAUCAAUUGCGUCUCUGAUGGGUCGGCACCUAGGGCGGUGACUGCGUCCCCUUCUCGUGCUUCCUUGUCUCUUCCCUCUUCCCUGUCGUAGUCACAGCAGGAGUGACGUGAACGCUGAUGACGACGCGGAAGCUGUUGACUGGAGUUGUUGCCGAUAUGUUGCUGUAGACGUAGCCAUUAAUGUCAAUAUCGAGGUAGCCGAUCAUGGUGAUGUAGCCGUGGUCGAGGUAGUCGUGGUCGAUGGUGUGGUCGUCGUGGAUGAUGAAGCCGCAUAGAGCCUGAAGGCGCAAAAAAUGCGCUAUGACGGAGCUGCAGACGUGGACGAUGCACCUUGCGGAUGUGAGAGGGUGCCAUCGGUGACAAGUUGCCGGUUUUGCCAAGACCAGAGGAAGCCCAUCAAGAACACAUCGGUUUUGCUAGAACCGUGUGGCCAUGUAGGGUCGUCACUGUAGUGACGCCGUGUCGAUGCAGUCGUGCUGUCGUGGAUGACGCCAUCGAUGCUGUCGUCGUUGUCGCGUCUUGCAGAAAAGUCUGUCAGAGGACACUAGGUGUCCAUCUUGUGUACAAGGCAGCGGCGGUGCGUUGACGAAAAUGUUGGUGAAGACCAUGUUGAUGAAGAGCUUGGCGAUGAUGUUGCAGCGGCGUGUCGACGAUAAUGUGUCGCUUGAAGGCGUCCCUCGCGGCGACCAAGUGUCAAUGCCGUGUCGCGCCAGAAAAGUCAAUGAAGAUUGCAUCUCGUUCCACACCGGCCUGACGUGUGGAUGGUGCAUGUUGAGAUCGCUUCUCGUAGACAUACUCGUCGAAGUAUAUUGGCUUGUAGUCUGGCGUAGUGUAUAGCUUGAUGAUGCGGCGUGGGUCGGCGGAUGGUGCGUCGUUCAGUCGCGUGGCCGCCCUCCCGGUCGAUGCCUCGUAUAUGCGCAAAUGGAUGUGUAGCUGGCGGUUGUCGAUGGCUGCACGUGUCGGAGUCCAUGUAUCGCUGCAUGCAUCUCCUCGCAUGGCUGGAUGGGCCUUUGACAAUGGAGGCUGCUGGGGCGGCUUGGGCGGCACCGUAAGCCAGCCGCCGCCCGCUCCCCUCCCUCCAUCUCUUUCCCUCGCCGUCACCUGAGGAGUCCGGCGAGAAAUCUCACUGCGCUUUCGAGGAGGGUGGCAACCAGGCGUUCUCUCUCCAGCCCAGGCGAGUGGUGCGGGAAGCCAACGCGUGGAGUGCUCAUGGCGGCUGGUGUCAAGGCUCUUGUAGAUCCGGCUCGCUGGUGGUCGGGGAUGCAACGUAUGAUGGCGGAUCCGGUGAGCAGUAGGUGCUCCGUUGGUGUAGUGCAGUCGUUGGGCGUCGACGUGGCUUCGGUCGUGGACGUCGGUCCCCAGCCCGGGGGAUCUGGAUCUGGCCGGUCUGCCCCCCUAUCUGCGGGCUGGUGGCCUAGAAGGAGUGCUGCUGGCGGUCGGUGGUGCCCGGUUGGCGCGAGCAAGUAGGCUCUGGCCGUGGUGGAUGCGUGGGGUGCAGGGCCGAUCUGGCUUGUGCAAGCCCGACGUCGCGGGGGCUCAGCGGGCCCGUGUUUGCCGGCGGUGAGGAAGAUGGUGGUCCUGGGCAGUGUUGGCGUGCUCGCUGCGUUGGGGUGCGCGGCCAGCGGAGGUACUUGUCGGCCUUGGCUGGCUGCGUGGGAGUGGUUGCUCCGGGCGAAAGCUUGGCCGGUGCUCGCCGGUCGGCGACGACGGCGCCCGUGGGCGUCGUUAUCCUCCUUGGAGGCAUCGUUGGGAUCUGCAUCCUCUACUCCCGGGUCAGGAUCUUCGGGUGAAACCCAAGAUCCUGCUAUAGGAUCGGGCGGUGGCGUCGUCUUCAAUGUCGUUUUCCCCUCUUUAGAACGCCGUCUUGAAGAUCCUGGUCCCAUUGGUGCCUCCUACGGGCUGGCCGUGCACGGCAUUGUGGCUAUCCGUUUGUCAAUGAGGGUGGUUGGACUUCUAUGGCAACGAUGACGGUGGUGAGCAUGGUCGGGGGCAUGGCAUUGGUCGUGGUAGUUGGCUCUUCUCCGACGUGUCCGUUGGAUGGCCUUAGCUGCUUGUUGCUGUGAAGUCGAAGCCGCGGUGCAGGGCGGUGCGGGGCCCUGGUGGCGUACGACAGGUGCUCCGUUUGGCGAUUCUUCGCGACGCCAACCUUGCCUAGUUCUCCGUAGUUCUUCGUUGGAGUCGAAGCUACGUUGUCUUGUUGUGGGUGGAUGGUGAUCCACAACGUGAGUAUAGUGUUGUUCUGCAGCCAAUAGGUUGUCGUUUUUUUUUCUUUUUUUUUGAUCUUUGGAUCCUCUUCAUGUUGUUUUUCCGUUGCUUUCUGCUAAAUCUAAUCGAAGCCAGCAAUUUGCUGGAUCUUAAAAAAAAAGAUAAUGGAGGCUGCUGGUGGCUGUUUGAGGAGCCGGUGGCCGCUCUGGAUCACGCUUGCGCGAUUCCUGCCGUGCGUGCUCGUGGCCGGCCCUCCUGUGUGGCCUCGGCUGGUGGACGCGAGGAGGUGGUCGUCGUUGCCCUUGAUCUCUCAGCCUGUGCAAAGCUAGCUAGCCUGAGGCUUGAUCCAUCACUGGCCAAAUUACCAAGCUAGCUCACGAUGCGAGGAUGCCGCGGCCGGCGCGGCCUUCCGGAUCGAAGGUGUCGUGUGCCUGGUGUCGAGGGAGCCGCCCAAAGCCACGAGAUGUGUAGCUUGAUGCCGCAGGUGAUCGCCGCCGCGUACGUCGAUAGGUGUUGUACGAUUGGCCGCCGGUAUAAGCACCAAUUUUUGCUGGAAUUUGAGGGCAGCAGGAUUUUAUUUGGUGGCUAAUUGAAUUAAUCUAGUGGAUGGAUUUUGGAAAACUCGAAAUUGGAAACCUAUGAAAAUCUAAUUGGAUCUAAUCUAUCUAAUGAACCGGUCUAUCUUUGAUGGUCGGAAGCCACGCCCUCGGGGAGAGGAGAUUAAUCUACCCGGAGGCGACACACUGCGGAAGUGGUGGAAGGUCCUAGGAUCAGCGUCGUUGGACAAACUGCUCUAAUAUCAUGUAGAAAUUGUAGGAUGGUUGUGUUGUUAUGUGUAGCUGUAUUGAUCUGACACUCGUAGGGGUAUAUAAAAAGUACAACAUGUGGUGAAACUUGGAGCACAAGACAAGUCAUAGUAUAUUAAAACUAAUUCUAUCUCCAUCUCUCCUUAUCUCUAACUAAAUAUGGUACCUGAGCCAAGAGUUUCAAUAAACGAUUCUGCGGUCUACAUCAAUCCCACGUCUAAGGACUAAAAUAGACUAGACGUGAUGGGUGGUGUUGAAGUGUAAUGUCCGGUCCUCUUUCAUAGUUCGGACUGAUGGUGAACUGGUUAAUUGCAUAAACUUACAACCAAGAGGUUCAGGGUUCAAAACCCAGUAAAAGCAAUAAAUAAUUGUGGCCUGCCCCCGCUUGCGCUGCCUUCGUCGUAUAGCCAGUAGCUCCCGGAGUGACAACUGCGUACACCUCCAAGAAUAUUUAUUUAUCAGGUAAGAUGCCUGUGUAAAUUGCAAGAUUUUUGAAAGUUUAAUCAUGACUCUCAGUUGGAAAAAAUAUUUAUAUUGUUGGAGACAAUUGUAAGACUACUGAAUUUAGUUGUGCUGAAACUUUCAACCAAGAUGAAAUGAUUCCACAUUUGGACCCUGGGAUGGUUUCUUCAACCGUUGAUCCUGAUGCUGCUGGAUACGCUGAAAGAGCAAACAAAGCCAAGAAGCCAGUCAAGAUUAGUGCCCGAAGCCUUGCAAAGCCGGAAAGAAACGAGGUGAUGAAAGCUGCAGCAAAAGCUCGGGCAUCAUCCUCUAUUCUCCGACCAAUAGAUGCCCGCCAUGGCAAUGAAGCUGAUAUUAGCUCCAGUGGCAAUGCCAAUGUCAGGAGUAGCAUGAGUGUUGACUACAGUGCUACAAAGGAAUCGAGGAGUGAGAUGCUGCUGUUCCCUCUACGGAACUUGUAUCCGCAGAGUCUUGCCAGUUACGAUGACUAUGAGACUGGCACACAGACUGCAAACAGUUUAAACAGCCCGGUCCACAUCCACAAGUUUGCCCCUCAUGCUCAAUUUCGUGUAGCACCUCAUCCAGCUCCACCUCCUAAAAGGCCUGCGCUAGGGAUUACAAGGCCACAUGUUCCUGCCACACAUAUAAGUAACAACCCAAUGUUCCAGUCAGCCACAUCAUAUGUCAGGGAGAACCGAAGAGCCUCUGUUGUCUGGGAUCAAGAGGCUGGUCGGUACGUGUCAGUGCCCAUGCAAACAACAAGAACAGGGCCCGGUGUUGAGCUGCCUGCAAGAAACCCAAGUUUCUUGGUGAAUCCAAGUGGUGAACCAGGCAACCAUGGGAGAAAUCUUGCACCUGCCAACACAACUUCAUCAGCGAUUCCUUCGGGGCAGCUGUCCGAGAGGUUGACGUACACAGGCCAAUCAAUAUUCUUUGGCGGGCCAAUCCUGAGCACCACUGGCAUAAAUGAAGAAAGGAAUGAGGCGGGCACAAGAGUGCGUCCUGAGACAAGCAGAGAUCCCAACUCCCACCAGCGUGACAUCCGUGGUGAGAAGGCUCGGACAGGCUCCUUCCCGUUGUAUGAGCCUAGGAAUUUCUAGAAGAACCUGCUUUGAUGGCAAGUGACCUUGACUGGCUGUUUUACUCUUCUAUACUAUGUCGUCUGCUCAAGUGCCACCACCACGACAGUGGGGGUGAUGUUGAUGCACUGCACCCCAUGCAGAGUCAGGGAACUGCUAAAAUAGUUGACCCGGGACACAUAGAUAACGAUGCUUCUUAGAGCUUUAUUAUAGUGAGCGAGGAUGGCGCUAACUUUGUUUGAUGUUUUACAAACUGACUGAUAGUCGCAGUUUUAUUUUGCGUGUAUUAGGAGUUGAGAUGUUUGAUGCGCUUGGCAUGUAGUAGAAGAGCUGAUUAAACUUGUCCUUGAUGUGUAGAACCUUGUGAUUUGCCGCUGACUUUGUUCACAUUACGGACUUCGGAGUGUUCAUUGCAAGUCUCUGUUCUAUUACUGCUGUAAUAGUAGCCCACGUGUGAAGGCAUUGUCUCCAACUAUCUUGGCGUUUGACUGCUUUAUUUUCGUGUUGAGAGAAUGGAAUUUGACCGGAUGAUACUGCUUGCUGCAUAAUUGAUGUUCAUUUUCCAAACUAAAUUAGUGAGAUGGGUAUGAUUGCAAUUGAAUAAUUCUUGUUCUGUAUCAUGAGUUCAUAUCUAAAUAAACUGCGGCUUAUUAGUGCCACUGCAUUGCUGUCAACGUGCCAAGGAUGUUGCAAAAUUCCCCGCGUUUAUGUAAACUACUCCCUCUGUCCAAUAAUAUUAUCAGACAGAGGGAGUACCUAUUUGAACAUGGCAAGAAUAAUGAUAGUACCGGAAGUUAAACUUAGUUUCAUUGCAUCCAUAGGUUGUGGAUGCUCUAUGGAAGCAUCACUUCUGCGCCAUCAGGCUCAUUGCCACAACCUUUAGUUAGGAAUCCUGUGUUUAAUUCUCUUUUCUUUACGGGCUGACUUCUUGAUCGAAGCAACAUCUUUCUCAAUACCACACAAUCAGAUUACCAUUCACCUCGCGCGGGAAACAGAUCUUGAAUCCAUAUGCCAUGGGAGAAGAACAAAGGAGGAUGUAGAUCAUACAAUGGCGGCCAGAGUGUUAUUUUUUGUUUUGUUUUUGGAUGAAGUGGUGUUCUGGGUGUUUGCUGUAUGCAUUGCAACAUAUGAUGUAUCCUGGGGAUAUAUAUAGAGAGAUCUAGGGUUGUAAUGACUGUUGGAAAUAUGCCCUAGAGGCAAUAAUAAAAGGAUUAUUAUUAUAUUUCCUUGUUCAUGAUAAUUGUCUUUAUUCAUGCUAUAGUUGUAUUAUCCGGAAAUCGUAAUACACGUGUGAAUACAUAGACCACAAUAUGUCCCUAGUAAGCCUCUAGUUGACUAGCUCGUUGAUCAACAGAUAGUCAUGGUUUCCUGACUAUGGACAUUGGAUGUCAUUGAUAACGGGAUCACAUCAUUAGGAGAAUGAUGUGAUGGACAAGACCCAAUCCUAAGCAUAGCACAAGACCGUGUAGUUCGUUUUGCUAGAGCUUUUCCAGUGUCAAGUAUCUUUUCCUUAGACCAUGAGAUCCUGUAACUCCCGGAUACCGUAGGAGUGCUUUGGGUGUACCAAACGUCACAACGUAACUGGGUGACUAUAAAGGUGCACUACAGGUAUCUUCGAAAGUGUCUGUUGGGUUGAAACGGAUCGAGAUUGGGAUUUGUCACUCCGUAUGACGGAACAAGGUAUUGGGAUACCAACGGUCGAAUCUUGGGCAAGUAACGUACCGAUUGACAAAGGGAAUUGUAUACGGGGUUGCUGAAAUCCUCAACAUCAUGGUUCAUCCGAUGAGAUCAUCGAGGAGCAUGUGGGAGACAACAUGGGUAUCCAGAUCCGCUGUUGGUUAUUGACCGGAGAGCCGCCUCGGUCAUGUCUGCGUGUCUCCCGAACCCGUAGGGUCUACACACUUAAGGUUCGAUGACGCUAGGGUUGUAUGAAUAUGAGUAUGCAGUAAACCGAAAGUUGUUCGGGGUCCCGGAUGAGAUCCCAGACGUCACGAGGAGUUUCGGAAUGGUCCGGAGGUAAAGAAUUAUAUAUGGGAAGUCGAGUUUCGGCCAUCGGGAAAGUUUCGGGGUCCACCAGUAUUGUACCGGGACCACCGGAAGGGUCCCGGGGGUCCACCGGGUGGGUCCACCUAUCCCGGAGGGCCCCGUGGGCUGAAGUGGGGAGGGUACCAGCCCCUGGUGGGCUGGUGCGCUCCCCUGGGCCCCCCUCUGGUGGUUCAUCCGAUGAGAUCAUCGAGGAGCAUGUGGGAGCCAACAUGGGUAUCCAUAUCCCGCUGUUGGUUAUUGACCGGAGAGCCGUCUCGGUCAUGUCUGCGUGUCUCUCGAACCCGUAGGGUCUACACACUUAAGGUUCGGUGACGCUAGGGUUGUAUGAAUAUGAGUAUGCAGUAAACCGAAAGUUGUUCGGGGUCCCGGAUGAGAUCCCAGACGUCACGAGGAGUUCCAGAAUGGUCCGGAGGUAAAGAAUUAUAUAUGGGAAGUCGAGUCUCGGCCAUUGGGAAAGUUUUGGGGUCCACCGGUAUUGUACCGGGACCACCGGAAGGGUCCCGGGGGUCCACCGGGUGGGGCCAUCUAUCCCGGAGGGCCCCGUGGGCUGAUGUGGGGAGGGGACCAGCCCCUGGUGGGCUGGUGCACCCCUCCUGCCCCCCCUCUGUGCCUAGGGUUGGGAACCCUAGGGGAGGGGGCGCCUCCACUUGCCUUGGGGGGCACUCCACCCCCUUGGCCGCCGCCCCCCUAGAGAUCCCAUCUCUAGGGCCGGCACCCCCCUGGGGGUCCCUAUAUAAAGAGGGGGGGGGGAGGGAGGGCAGCCGCACCUGAAGUCUUGGCGCCUCCCUCUCCCCUUGCUACACCUCCUCCUCCCGUAAUCGCUUGGCGAAGCCCUGCCGGAACCCUACUGCAUCCACCACCACGCCGUCGUGCUGCUGGAUCUUCAUCAACCUCUCCUUCCCUCUUGCUGGAUCAAAAAGGAGGAGACAUCAUCCGCUCCGUACGUGUGUUGAACGCGGAGGUGCUGUCCGUUCGGCACUUGGUCAUCGGUGAUUUGGAUCACGACGAGUACGACUCCCUCAACCCCAUUCUCUUGAACGCUUCCGCUCGCGAUCUACAAAGGUAUGUAGAUGCACUUCUAUCACUCAUUGCUAGAUGAACUCCUAGAUGGAUCUUGGUGAAACCGUAGAUUUUUUUUAUUUUCUGCAACGUUCCCCAACAGUGGUAUCAAAGCCAGGUUUAUGCGUAGUUCUCUAUUACAUGAGUAGAACACAAAUCUGUUGUGGGCGUAGAUCUUGUCAACUUGCUUGCCGCAACUAGUCUUAUUUUGCUUCAGCGGUAUUGUGGGAUGAAGCAUCCCGGACCGACCUUACACGUACGCUUACGUGAGACAGGUUCCACCGAUUGACAUGCCCUAGUUGCAUAAGGUGGCUAGCGGGUGUAUGUCUCUCCCACUUUAGUUGGAGCGGAUUCGAUGAAAAGGGUCCUUAUGAAGGGUAAAUAGAAGUUGACAAAAUCACGUUGUGGUUAUUCGUAGGUAAGAAAAUGUUCUUGCUAGAACCCAAUUGCAGCCACGUAAAAGAUGCAACAACAAUUAGAGGACGUCUAACUUGUUUUUGCAGCAAUUGCCUUGUGAUGUGAUAUGGCCAACAGUUGUGAUGAAUGAUGAAUGAUAUAUUGUGAUGUAUGAGAUCAUGUUCUUGUAAUAGGAAUCACGACUUGCAUGUCGAUGAGUAUGACAACCGGCAGGAGCCAUAGGAGUUGUCUUAAUUAUUGUAUGACCUGCGUGUCAAUGAUUUAACGCCAUGUAAUUACUUUACUUUAUUGCUAAACCGUUAGCCAUAGUAGUAGAAGUAAUAGUUGGCGAGCAACUUCAUGGAGGCACGAUGAUGGAGAUCAUGAUGAUGGAGAUCAUGGUGUCAUGCCGGUGACGAAGAUGAUCAUGGAGCCCCGAAGAUGGAGAUCAAAGGAGCUAUAUGAUAUUGGCCAUAUCAUGUCACUACUAUAUAAUUGCAUGUGAUGUUUAUUAUGUUUAUGCAUCUUGUUUACUUAGAACGAUGGUAGUAAAUAAGAUGAUCCCUUAUAACAAUUUCAAGAAAGUGUUCUCCCCUAACUGUGUGCCGUUGCUAAAGUUCGUCGUUUGAAGCACCACGUGAUGAUCGGGUGUGAUAGAUUCUUACGUUCACAUACAACGAGUGUAAGACAGUUUUACACAUGCAAAAACACUUAGGGUUAACUUGACGAGCCUAGCAUGUACAGACAUGGCCUCGGAACACAGGGACCGAAAGGUCGCACAUGAGUCGUAUGACGAUCAACAUGGAGAUGUUCACCGAUGAUGACUAGUCCGUCUGACGUGAUGAUCGGACACGGCCUAGUCGACUCGGAUCGUGUAACACUUAGAUGACUAGAGGGAUGUCUAAGCUGAGUGGGAGUUCAUUAAAAUAAUUUGAUUAGAUGAACUUAAUUAUCAUGAACUUAGUAUAAAAUCUUUGCAAAAUAUGUCUUGUACUCCCUCCGUCCAUGAAUAAGUGUACAUCUAGCUUUUGUCUUAAGUCAAAGUUUUAAAACUUUGACCACCUUUCUAGGAAAAAAUAAAAGCAUUUAUGACACCAAGUUAGUAUCACUAGAUUCAUUUUGAAAUGUACUUUGAUAAUCUAUCAAUUUGAUGUCAUAUAUGUUACUAUUAUUUUCUAUAAAGUUGGUCAAAAUUUUAAAAUUUUGACUUAGAACAAAAGCUAGAUGUACACUUAUUCGCGGACGGAGGGAGUAGAUCAAAUGGCCAACGCUCAUGUCAACAUGAACUUCAAUACGUUCCUAGAGAAAACCAAGCUGAAAGAUGAUGGUAGCAACUAUACGGACUGGGUCCGGAACCUGAGGAUCAUCCUCAUAGCUGCCAAGAAAGCAUAUGUCCUAGAAGGACCACUAGGUGAAGCACCCAUCCCAGAGAACCAAAACGUUAUGAAUGCUUGGCAGUCACGUGCUGAUGAUUGCUCCCUCGUUCAGUGUGACUUGCUUUACAGCUUAGAACCGGGGCUCCAAAAGCGUUUUGAGCACCACGGAGCAUAUGAGAUGUUUGAGGAGCUGAAAAUGGUUUUCCAAGCUCAUGCCCGGGUCGAGAGAUAUGAAGUCUCCGACAAGUUCUAUAGUUGUAAGAUGGAGGAAAAUAGUUCUGUCAGUGAGCACAUACUCAAAAUGUCUGGGUUGCACAAUCGCCUGUCCCAGGUGGACAUUAACCUCCCGAACGAGGCGGUCAUUGGCAGAAUCCUUCAGUCGCUCCCGCCGAGCUACAAGAGCUUUGUGAUGAACUACAAUAUGCAGGGGAUGGUGAAAACUAUUCCUAAAGUAUUUUCAAUGCUGAAGUCGGCAGAGGUAGAAAUCAAGAAAGAACAUCAAGUGUUGAUGGUCAAUAAAACCACCAAGUUUAAGAAGGGCAAGGGUAAGAAGAACUUCAAGAAGGACGGCAAAGAUGUUGCCGCACCCGGUAAGCCAGUUGCCGGGAAGAAGUCAAAGAAUGGACCCAAGCCCGAGACUAAGUGCUUUUAUUGCAAAGGGAAGGGUCACUGGAAGCGGAACUGCCUCAAAUACUUAGCGGACAAGAAGGCCGGCAACACUAAAGGUAUAUGUGAUAUACAUGUAAUUGAUGUGUACCUUACUAGUAAUCGUAGUAACUCCUGGGUAUUUGAUACCGGUGUCGUUGCUCAUAUUUGUAACUCACAGCAGGAGCUGCAGAAUAAGCGGAGACUGGCGAAGGACGAGGUGACGAUGCGCGUCGGGAAUGGUUCCAAGGUCGAUGUGAUCGCCGUCAGCACGCUACCUCUACAUUUACCUACGGGAUUAGUUUUAAACCUUAAUAAUUGUUAUUUAGUGCCAAGUUUGAGCAUGAACAUUGUAUCUGGAUCUUGUUUAAUACGAGAUGGCUACUCAUUUAAAUCCGAGAAUAAUGGUUGUUCUAUUUAUAUGAGAGAUAUGUUUUAUGGUCAUGCCCCGAUGGUCAAUGGUUUAUUCUUAAUGAAUCUCGAACGUAGUGUUACACAUAUUCAUAGUGUGAAUAUCAAAAGAUGUAAAGUUCAUAUUCAUAGUGUGAAUACCAAAAGAUGUAAAGUUAAUAACGAUAGUCCCACAUACUUGUGGCACUGCCGCCUUGGUCACAUUGGUGUCAAGCGCAUGAAGAAGCUCCAUGCUGAUGGACUUUUAGAGUCUCUCGAUUAUGAAUCAUUUGACACAUGCGAACCAUGCCUCAUGGGCAAAAUGACCAAGACUCCGUUCUCCGGAACAAUGGAGCGAGCAACCAACUUAUUGGAAAUCAUACAUACCGAUGUGUGCGGUCCAAUGAGCAUUGAGGCUCGUGGAGGAUAUCGUUAUGUUCUCACUCUCACUGAUGACUUGAGUAGAUAUGGGUAUGUCUACUUUAUGAAACACAAGUCUGAGACAUUUGAAAGGUUCAAGGAAUUUCAGAAUGAGGUAGAGAAUCAACGUGACCGAAAGAUAAAAUUCUUAUGAUCAGAUCGUGGAGGAGAAUAUUUAAGUCACGAAUUUGGUACACACUUAAGAAAAUGUGGAAUCGUUUCACACUCACGCCGCCUGGAACACCUCAGCGUAAUGGUGUGUCCGAACGUCGUAAUCGCACUCUAUUGGAUAUGGUGCGAUCUAUGAUGUCUCUUACCGAUUUACCGCUAUCAUUUUGGGGAUACGCUCUAGAGACAGCUACAUUCACUUUAAAUAGGGCUCCGUCUAAAUCCGUUGAGACGACACCGUAUGAAUUAUGGUUUGGGAAGAAACCUAAGCUGUUGUUUCUAAAAGUUUGGGGAUGCGAUGCUUAUGUCAAGAAACUUCAACCUGAAAAGCUCGAACCCAAGUCGGAAAAAUGCGUCUUCAUAGGAUACCCUAAGGAAACCAUUGGGUAUACCUUCUACUUAAGAUCCGAGGGCAAGAUCUUUGUUGCCAAGAACGGAUCCUUUCUGGAAAAAGAGUUUCUCUCGAAAGAAGUAAGUGGGAGGAAAGUAGAACUCAAUGAAGUACUACCUCUUGAACCGGAAAGUAGUGCAACUCAGGAAAAUGUUCCUGUGGUGCCUACACCAACUGGAGAGGAAAUUAAUGAUGAUGAUCAAGGUACUUCGGAUCAAGUUGCUACUGAACUUCAUAGGUCCACAAGGACACGUUCCACACCAGAGUGGUAUGGCAACCCUGUCCUGGAAAUCAUGUUGUUAGACAACGGUGAACCUUCGAACUAUGAAGAAGCGAUGGUGGGCCCAGAUUCCAACAGAUGGCUUGAAGCCAUGCAAUCCGAGAUAGAAUCCAUGUAUGAAAACAAAGUAUGGACUUUGACAGACUUGCCCGAUGAUCGGCGAGUGAUAGAAAACAAAUGGAUCUUUAAGAAGAAGACGGACACGGAUGGUAAUAUUACCAUCUAUAAAGCUCGACUUGUCGCUAAGGGUUAUCGGCAAGUUCAAGGGGUUGACUACGAUGAGACAUUCUCUCCCGUAGCGAAGCUGAAGUCCGUUCGAAUCAUGUUAGCAAUUGCCACAUACUAUGAUUAUGAGAUAUGGCAGAUGGACGUCAAAACGGCAUUCCUUAACGGACAUCUUAAGGAAGAACUGUAUAUGAUGCAGCCGGAAGGUUUUGUCGAUCCUAAGAAUGCUAACAAAGUAUGCAAGCUCCAGCGAUCCAUUUAUGGGCUGGUGCAAGCAUCUCGGAGUUGGAACAUUCGCUUUGAUGAGAUGAUCAAAGCGUUUGGGUUUAUGCAGAAUUAUGGAGAAGCCUGCGUUUACAAGAAAGUGAGUGGGAGCUCUAUAGCAUUUCUCAUAUUAUAUGUAGAUGAAAUAAUUUUGAUGGGAAAUGAUAUAGAACUUUUGGAAAACAUUAAGGCCUACUUGAAUAAGUGUUUUCAAUAAAGGACCUUGGAGAAGCUGCUUACAUAUUAGGCAUCAAGAUCUAUAGGGAUAGAUCAAGACGCCUCAUAGGUCUUUCACAAAGCACAUACCUUGAUAAGAUUUUGAAGAAGUUCAAAAUGGAUCAGUCCAAGAAAGGGUUCUUGCCUGUAUUGCAAGGUGUGAGAUUGAGCGCGGCUCAAUGCCCGACCACGGCAAAAGAUAAAGAAGAGAUGAGUGUCAUCCCCUAUGCUUCAGCCAUAGGAUCUAUUAUGUAUGCCAUGCUGUGUACCAGACCUGAUGUAAACCUUGCCGUAAGUUUGGUAGGAAGGUACCAAAGUAAUCCCGGCAAGGAACACUGGACAACAGUCAAGAAUAUCCUGAAGUACCUGAAAAGGACAAAGGACAUGUUUCUCGUUUAUGGAGGUGACGAAGAGCUCGCCGUAAAGGGUUACGUCGACGCUAGCUUCGACACAGAUCUGGAUGACUCUAAGUCACAAACCGGAUACGUGUAUAUGUUGAAUGGUGGAGCAGUAAGCUGGUGCAGCUGCAAGCAGAGCGUCGUGGCGGGAUCUACAUGUGAAGAGGACUACAUGGCAGCCUCGGAGGCAGCGCAUGAAGCAAUUUGGAUGAAGGAGUUCAUCAUCGACCUAGGAGUCAUACCCAAUGCGUCGGGGCCGAUCAAACUCUUCUGUGACAACACUGGAGCUAUUGCCCUUGCAAAGGAGCCCAGGUUUCACAAGAAGACCAGGCACAUCAAGCGUCGUUUCAACUCCAUCCGUGAAAAUGUUCAAGAUGGAGACAUAGAUAUUUGCAAAGUACAUACGGAUCUGAAUGUCGCAGAUCCGUUGACUAAACCUCUUUCGCGAGCAAAACAUGAUCAACACCAGAACUCUAUGGGUGUUCGAUUCAUAACAAUGUAACUAGAUUAUUGACUCUAGUGCAAGUGGGAGACUGUUGGAAAUAUGCCCUAGAGGCAAUAAUAAAAGGAUUAUUAUUAUAUUUCCUUGUUCAUGAUAAUUGUCUUUAUUCAUGCUAUAGUUGUAUUAUCCGGAAAUCGUAAUACACGUGUGAAUAUAUAGACCAUAAUAUGUCCCUAGUAAGCCUCUAGUUGACUUGCUCGUUGAUCAACAGAUAGUCAUGGUUUCCUGACUAUGGACAUUGGAUGUCAUUGAUAAUGGGAUCACAUCAUUAGGAGAAUGAUGUGAUGGACAAGACCCAAUCCUAAGCAUAGCACAAGAUCGUGUAGUUCGUUUUGCUAGAGCUUUUCCAAUGUCAAGUAUCUUUUCCUUAGACCAUGUGAUCGUGUAACUCCCGGAUACCGUAGGAGUGCUUUGGGUGUACCAAACGUCACAACGUAACUGGGUGAUUAUAAAGGUGCACUACAGGUAUCUCUGAAAGUGUCUGUUGGGUUGACACGGAUCGAGACUGAGAUUUGUCACUCCGUAUGACGGAGAGGUAUCUCUGGGCCCACUCGGUAAUGCAUCAUCAUAAUGAGCUCAAAGUGGCCAAGUGUCUGGUCACGGGAUCAUGCAUUGCGGUACGAGUAAAGUGACUUGCCGGUAACGAGAUUGAACAAGGUAUUGGGAUACCGACGAUCGAAUCUCGGGCAAGUAACGUACCGAUUGAUAAAGGGAAUUGUAUACGGGGUUGCUUAAAUCCUCGACAUCGUGGUUCAUCCGAUGAGAUCAUCGAGGAGCAUGUGGGAGCCAACAUGGGUAUCCAUAUCCCGCUGUUGGUUAUUGACCGGAGAGCCGCCUCGGUCAUGUCUGCGUGUCUCUCGAACCCGUAGGGUCUACACACUUAAGGUUCGGUGACGCUAGGGUUGUAUGAAUAUGAGUAUGCAGUAAACCGAAAGUUGUUCGGGGUCCCGGAUGAGAUCCCAGACGUCACGAGGAGUUCCAAAAUGGUCCGGAGGUAAAGAAUUAUAUAUGGGAAGUCGAGUCUCGGCCAUUGGGAAAGUUUUGGGGUCCACCGGUAUUGUACCGGGACCACCGGAAGGGUCCCGGGGGUCCACCGGGUGGGGCCACCUAUCCCGGAGGGCCCCGUGGGCUGAUGUGGGGAGGGGACCAGCCCCUGGUGGGCUGGUGCACCCCUCCUGCCCCCCCUCUGCGCCUAGGGUUGGGAACCCUAGGGGAGGGGGCGCCUCCACUUGCCUUGGGGGGCACUCCACCCCCUUGGCCGCCGCCCCCCUAGAGAUCCCAUCUCUAGGGCCGGCGCCCCCCUGGGGGUCCCUAUAUAAAGAGGGGGGAGGGAGGGCAGCCGCACCUGAAGUCUUGGCGCCUCCCUCUCCCCUUGCUACACCUCCUCCUCCCGUAGUCGCUUGGUGAAGCCCUGCCGGAACCCUGCUGCAUCCACCACCACGCCAUCGUGCUGCUGGAUCUUCAUCAACCUCUCCUUCCCCCUUGCUGGAUCAAAAAGGAGGAGACGUCAUCCGCUUCGUACGUGUGUUGAACGCGGAGGUGCUGUCCGUUUGGCACUUGGUCAUCGGUGAUUUGGAUCACGACGAGUACGACUCCCUCAACCCCGUUCUCUUGAACGCUUCCGCUCGCGAUCUACAAAGGUAUGUAGAUGCACUCCUAUCACUCGUUGCUAGAUGAACUCCUAGAUGGAUCUUGGUGAAAUCGUAGAUUUUUUUUAUUUUCUGCAACGUUCCCCAACAAUGACCAUGUGUAGACCUAGCUAUAAAUUAUGCAGCCCUUAGUUACAAACCUGAGUGUCCUGGCUUGCAGUGCCCUCAACUGCAUGUAGCCAUGAUACAACUGAUUCGGUUACGAGCAUUGGAAUGCCCUCACAGAAGCAAAAAGUAAAAUCUGAGAGUUAAGAAAAAACCCUAAUGAUACUUCCUUAGAAUCACAUGACAAUCAUGGUUAGCCACAUAAACCUGAUAUCAACAAUAGAUGACGGUUCCAUAGAGCAUCUACAUCCCCUGGAGAUAAACCUCUAUAUAUCAUGUAGGAAAAAAAUGCUAGCUCUAAAUCACACUUUUUAGUCUUUCCCGACUCCAUUGAUAUCAUGUGAACCAACCUGUAGUUGGAUGGUUAGGAGACCAAUGGUAUCCACAGUCCACCAGAGUUGUGUUAAAAAACAAAGUCCAUUGAUAUCAUUACAAUAGUAAUAACCAAGUAACUAAAUUGAAGUAGUUAAGAAGAAAUUCAUAGAAUUUAUCCUCUUUGAGAGAAAGAAGGCUAGUUUAAGAUGAAAGGAAGCAAGGUAACUUCGCCUUGAUUAGUACUAGUAAACAUUGUUCAUGGCACGUUUUCCUGAUCUUGAUAUGCACUGCACAUAGCGUGAUCCUUUCCAUGCACUUGUUGAAACAAAAUUGCUGCUUUAGACAUCUUGUCUUUUACUCUUAUUUAUUUUAUCACAUACUUCAGAGCAACUGAAGUGUUGAUGAAUGUAAUGACUAAUAGAGUAGAUUCUUUGGGGCAUCCCCCACGACAUUGCUCCUACGAGCGACGGGGGGAAACCCUAACCGCCAUCCCCUCAACCCCCUCCUCCCCUCCUCUCGUCUCGCCGUCGCCGGAGCUCGCUGGCGGGCAAAGCUCGGUCAGCGGCGGCGGGGCAUCCUCUCCUCUUCGUGUGGGGCCGGGCGGCGCGUGACGCCUUCUUCGCGCAGGGGCGCGUCGCUAUGCGGUGCAUGGCGGUGUAGGCGGCCGAGCCUCGGCAUGGAGGGCUGCUUGGCAGCGGUGGUGGCGGCGGCUAGUGCGUGGCGGCGAUGGACCAGGCUAGAUAGGAUCUGGAGGGUUCUUGGCGGUGGGCGGCGCGUGGGUGGGCAACGACUUAGCAGGGUCUCUCUGGCCAUGGCCAGGACAGCGUGCAGGCCACUGUUGCAGGGGUUCCGAGGCUGCUGGUCAGAUCCGCCCAGAUCUGGCCCCUGGGCACCGACGGGCGGCUCGGAGUGGUGGCCGCAGUCUCCUGGUUGAGGCUUGGAUGUGGCCUGAAACGGCGUGGUGGCAGCCCAUGGCAGUGGGCUAGGUCAUUCCAUGAUGGCGGCUGGACAUCUUCGACGUCGGUCAUCGUGGACCGGCUCUUGUGAUGGCGGCCUUCUUCCUGCGUCGGCUCGUCCGUAGGUGGCCUGUGGAGGCCUUCGAUCCCGCUCCUUGUCGUCCGAUGCUACUUUUGUCGCAGGGCUGGCCCUCUCCCAGCUGCGCUCCGUCGCCCAUCUCACGCCUAGUGCUGCAGGACCGAGCUCGUCUUCCGCCUGGCAGCAGGACCAACCUCAUCUCACACUUGGCAGCAGGACCGACCUCGUCUCGCGUCCGGUGCUGCAGGAUAGGUCGAUGGAGGCUAGUUUUGGCCGGCCUGGUGGUCUCGGUGCCGAGGGCCGCCCAGGGGUGUGAAAGAUGGAACCUUUCUGCUUGUCUCUUUGGCUGGGUUAGUGGCGGGCCUCAGGUGAGGUGGUGUUAAGGUCUUGGAUGCCAGGGCGGCGGCCCUGGUGCUGGUAGCAUGAUGCUCUUGGGCAGAGCCCGUGGCUUGGUGCUGCCCGGUGGCCAUGGCCGUGUGGGCGGCAUGGCAGCUGGGGUGUGGAGUUCAGUGGCGGUGAGUAUUGACCGGGGUGAAAACCUAUUCUAUUUUUUGAUGGACCGGCAGCGGCGAAGCUUGUUCCCUUCUUGAAGGUAUCGCCGCGACUCUCAUAGCCCGUCGUGUUGCUCUAGGGGAAACUCUGAUCCUUGGGUAGGGCGGUGGCAGCAAUUUGGUAUUGUAACCUUCCUAAAGACCUCGCCUUGGAGCCUACGGUUCGUCGUAUGUGGCUUCAUCUCUUCACGUUGGUGUGUUCACGGUUGAGGAUCCCGGUUGCUCAUGUAGUGCUAGGGGUGGUGUUUCCGCGCUCAACGACUAUAUAUGUAUCCUGCCUUGGGUGUGUGCAUGUGUUGUGUUGGCAUGCGUUUGUACUGGGUUGUUGUUGAUCGUUGUUGUAUAUAUAAAGCGGGGCGAAAGCCUUUUUGGUACAUGACUAAUAGAACUAUGUAUAGACCUCCCCCUUUUUGCAUCCAUAAACACUUAUAUUUGAGUAAGGAUAGAGCAAUUAUGAUAUGGUGAGUACAACCUCCAAACUGCUGGUUCAGUUGUCCCACGGUCCAGCCGCAUAGAGAAAACAGAGGUACUUUCAGCAAUGGUGGCAAGAACCGCGGGUGCCCGCGGCGGAGUGGCUACAAGCAACAGAGUGGCGGCGACUAGCGGAGGUGCAAAUGGAGAAGGUGAGGGCGGGUGCUAGGGCGGAGAUGACCAAUAUGGAGAUCUAGUACCCAAGGUAUCGCGUGCGGUUGUUCAAUGCUGCAUAGGCAAGCGGAGGGAGUUUUUGGGCUCGCAUGCAAUCUAAGUCAAACUCAAGCUAUGACCAAGCCAAGUUCAAGGGCAGCCACAUAAGCUUAGACGGGCCUGGUGAGGCAGGUCCAUGAGCGGGCUCGGCUUGGAUUCUUUCCAACCCAACCAACAACCUCAAGCCAGACAACCAACAUUUAGCUUUCUAUUUUCACAUGGUGGAUUAGUGACAAUAGCUACAUUUUCCCCUAUGCCUCUCAAUCUGGUUACCAAAUCCAUGCACCUCAGAUGGGUAACAUAUCUUGAAUCCGUAUGCCAUAGGAGAGGAACAAAGGAGGAUGUAGAUCAUACCAUGGUGAUAGGGUGGUAAUUGUUACAUGCAUUGCAAGAGAUGAUGUAUCCUGUGAGAUAUAUAGAGAGAUGUAAUGGCCAUGUGGGCCGACCUAGAUAGUAUGUAUCAUGAAAGUACACACUUAAAUGUCCUGACUCAUACAGCUCUCAACCACUUGCAAACAAUGCUAUAAUUGUUCUGUUGACGAGCAUUGGGAUGCCCUCACCCCUCACCCCACCCACACAGGCACACGGGAAUGGGACGGGAUGAAACACAUAGUGAGGAUGCUUCCUUCUACAUUCAUAACCAGGAUUUGCAAUCCUGGAUAACUACGAGACUUCAACACAGAAUAUAAAUUGUUUAACCAGCUAGGUACACUUCCCCCUCAUGCUCAAUUUUGCGCCACACCUCAUCCGGCUCCACAUCCUAAAAUGCAUGCACUAGGGAUUACAAGGCCAGUUGUCCUACUACACAAAUAACCAACCCAAUGGUUCUAGUAACCACACAAUAUGCCUGGGAGAACCAACGAGCUUUUGUUGUCUAGGAACUAGGAUCAAGAGGCUAGUCGGUACGUGUCAGUGGUUCGGUGCCUACACAAAUAAGAAUAGGACAUUGCGUCGAGCCGCGAAAGCUAAUUUUCUUAGCAAAUCCAAGUGAUGUACCAGGCAACCAUGGUAGAAAUCUUGCACUGUGAAAAAAAAUUCAUCAACGAUUCCUUUAGGGAAGCCGUCUGAGAUAUUGACGUACACAUGGAAUACGUAUUCUUUGGCGGGCCAAUCUUGAGCACCACUGGCAUAAACGCAGAAAGGAAUGAGGUGGGCAAAAGAGUGCGCCCUGAGGGAAGGAGAGAUUCCAACUCCCACCAGCGGGACAUCCGUGGCGAGAAGGCUGGACAUGCUCCUUCUUGUUCGAGCCUAGGAAUUACUAGAAGAAACUUCUUUGUUGGCAAGUGACUUUGACAGGAUGUUUUACUCUUCUCUAUGUGGUCUGCUCAAGUGCCACCAUGACAGUGGGGGUGAUGUUGAUGCACUGCACCCCAUGCAUAGACAGGGAAAUACUGAAAUGGUUGCUCCUCUCAAGUAGAAAAUAAUACAAGGAAGACGAUGAUCUUUAGAGCUUUACAGUGAGUGAGUAUGGCACUAACUUUGUUUGAUGUUUACGGACCGACUGAUACCCAGUUGUUUUUCUUUCACAUGUGUUAGGAGUUCAGAUGUUUGAUGCGCUUGAUAUGUCACAUAAGAGUUGAUUAAACUGUUUGAAUGUGUAUAACCUUUUGAUGAGGAGGUCCAGCGACCGCCCCGGUGGCUCCCGCGACGCACCCUGCGCGCGUAUCGGGGGAUCCAGAUCUGCCGCUGGCGGGCAGCUCCCUCCCCCGCCCCCUCAUCCCCCUCGCCGCUGCCAGAGGGCGUCCGCCGGGCAAAGCCCGUGCGGCGCUGGCAGCGGUGGGGCCUCUCUCCUCCCUCCCCUACUCGGGAUACCGCUGACGCGGGUCAGCCGACCGUGGGGGAGUUGGAUCAGGCGAGCUCUCCGGUGGCGGGGACGCGCAGAUUCUGAAGUAGCUAUGCUGGGAGUCGGUGGUGCAGCUCUGCAGCGGUGGUGGUAGGGGACAGGUCCGACGAGGUCGAUCUAGUUCCCUCAGGGCUGCGGGUGUCGCUGGUGGCAGUGGCCACGAGAGAGGGGGCUGCUCCCAUAUCUGGGGGUGGCGCUGGCGCUGCGAUGCACUGGUCUUGGCCAUGCUGGGCGGCGCGCGAGGCGGUGGCGACCAUGGAUCUCGAUCUGAAGUUGGAGGCUUUCACCAGCAGCUUGUCCUCCUUGACCGGCCGAGAUGUGGGCGUCCUCCUAGCGUCCUGUUUGAUGGCGGGGCGCUGGGUGUGGGCACUAGGUCGGGGGAAACCCUUGACCGGCGAUGCCGGGCACGAUGUUGGCGACGCCGGUGGCGUCGUUGUCCCUCUGGUGGGCAACAUCGAGUCUUACUUGAUGCCCUCCACCUACUGGUCUCGGGCGAAAGCCUACAAUCUCUAGAUUGGGGCGGCGAUGGCGCGUCAGCGUCAUGUACUUCUUGAAGGCGCCUUCUUGGGGGAUCAGCGGUCUUGGAUUUGGCGUGGUGUUGGUUUGUUUCUUCAGUGGAGUUCAUGCUCGAUAGUUGCAGUGGGCUUCUGGGUCUUGGCCAGAGACAGUGGCGAUGUAUGGGUUUCAUUCAGAGGUGAGGUUGCCAGGGUGGUCGCUCUCUCCUUGACAUCUGGUUCACUGGUCCAAGGGUGCUCGGGGGUGAGCUGCUUUGCCUACUGAUGGGUCGACUUCCUUCGAUCCAGGACGAGAGGGUGGGGGUGCCCUCUUCAGCGGCAUAUUUGGAUGGUGAACCGAGUGGCCCUGGGAGGCGACGAAGCAUGGCUCUCCUCCAGCGACGAUUAGCUCCCUUGUCGCGGGCGUGUCCAUGUCAUGAUCUGUAACCGUCAUGGGCUCCAAAGUGCUUUUGGGUUCUUCGGAGCUCGUUAGCUGUUCCGUAGUGCUUUGUAUCCGUGUUGAUUGUAUUUUCCUUUUCCUGUUGUCCUGUUGGUUGUAAGGUGUGGUCAUUGCUUUAUAUAUAAAGUGGGGCGAAAGCCUUUUUCGGCAGAACCUUUUGAUUUGCAGUUGACUUUUUUCACAUUGCAAACUUCGGAGUGCUCAUUGCAAGACUAUGUUCUGUAACUGUGGUAAUUGUAGCCCACGUGUGAGGCCAUCAUCUUGAACUAUCUAAGUGUUUGAUUGUUUUCUUUCAUUUGUGUUGAGGGAAUGAGUUUAACUCAGAUGACACUGCUUGCUGGGUAACUGUUGUUCAUUUGUCAAAUUGAAUUAGAGAGACUGGCUAUGAUUACAGUUAAGCAAUUCUUAUUCUUAUCAUGAGUUCAUGAAUAAUUAAACUAUGGCUUCAUUAGCGCUAACACAUCGCUGCCAACAUGCCCACUGCUUUAGGAACUAGAUGCUUCUUACACUACCUAUUUGAACAUCUCAAAAAUAAUGGUUGUGUCAGGAGUUAAACAUAGUUUCAUGAAUCCAUAGGUUGUGGAUGUUGUAAGGAAGCAUCAUUGCACCCUCAGGCUGGUUGCAACAACAUUUAGCCAGGAAGCCGGGGCUCUUCUCUUUUCUGUAGGAAGUGACUUCUUGAUGGAAGCAAUAUCUUUCCCAAUACCUCACAAUCCGAUUACCAUUCAUCUCACAUGGGAAACUCAAUUCAUAUACCAUGGGAGAAGAAGAAAGGAGAAUGUAGAUCAUACUGUGGUGGACACCCUGUUUUUUUUAUAAAGUCGUGGCCAUGGUGUCUGUUGUAUGCAUUGCAAGAGAUGGUGUAUCAUGAGGGAUAUAUAUAGAGCUAGGGAAUAAUGGCCAUGUGUACAUCUAGCUAUAAGGUAUGCAGCCCGUAGGGUACAUACCUUAAUGUACUGGCUUGUAGAGAUCUCAACCCCCUUCAUCCAUGAAGCAAUUGAUUCCCUUACGAGCAUUGGGACACGCUCACAGAAUGAAAAAAAAACUGAGAGGUAAGAAAACCGAAGGUACGUCCUUAGAAUGCACGACACGCGUGGUUAGCUAUCUAAAAACUGAUGUCAAUAAAAGAUGACGGGUCCUUGGAGCAUCCACAACCCUUGGAGCCAAACCUCUAUAUAUCACUUAUGUAGGAAAAAAACCAACCUAUCUCUACAACACCCUUUUCAAUCUUCUUUAAUCCCAUUGAUAUCAUCACCAUAGUAAUAAAAUAGUAAUUGAGUUAAGUGGGCUUUUUAGAUAAGAAGAAAUUCAUAUAAAUCCUUGUUGAUAGAAAGAAAUAUAGUUUCACAUGAAAAGAAGUGCUCGUGGAUGUGGAUGUGACCACAAUGAAGUAUCCCCCCUUUGCAAUCAAUCUAUAAAAUCUGUUGGGCAUCUUUUCAUUGAGCUCCCAUUCUCCAUCUAAACAUGGUUUAAGCUCAGCCUAAUGUGCAUUGACUUAAGCUCCAUAAAGAUCAAUGCCCUCGGAACCAUCAAUGAUCGGUGGAGCAACAUCGUUGGUGAGAACCAAAAAAAUGCAACUGCGGUGCCAAAUUUUCCGGUCAUAUUUGGAACAAAUUAAACCACUGUAUUUUUCAUAACUCCAUCACCAACCAUGACUUUGUCGUCGGUUAGAUCAACUCUGUUCUGGAUGCCCCAAAUCUAGAGAUUUUAUCUCUCUCGUCGUUGUACAGUCAGCGCCUAACGGUGAGUGAACCCUCUUUUUUUUCUCUUGAACUCUUACAUAUAUCUUCCUAACCUAUAAUCUGAAGGUAGAGAUGCUGCCAAUUUAGCUUAAAAAAUCUUUAAAAAAUAGAUGAAAAGGAAGUCAUGUAACUUUAUCUGCUUUUUAAAUACCAGUAAACAUUAUUCUUGCCACCUUUUCCUGAUCCUGGCAUGCACUGCACAGAGUACCAUAUUUUCCAUAGACUAGUUGAAUCAAAAUUGCUUCCCUAAUCAUCUCGUCCUUUACUCUUCAUUAUUUUAUGAAAAAAUUCAGAGUGACAAAGGUAUUGAUAAAUGAAAGGACUAGUGCUAAACAUAAACCUUUCUUUUUUGCAUCCAUAAAAAUAUCCAUUUCAUUAAACAUAUAACACUUAUGGUGAGUGCAACUUCGAGACUGUAUCACAAAUCUUCAGAAUGCUUGGACAUAUGAAUGAUAUGAUCCCCCUGGAACCAUGAAAUGAAGCCUUAGAGAAAGUGUUUGGAAUAUGACGAAGACGAGCAAGCCUUUGUCGGCGAGUGAUAAGAGAAAUGUAGGAGCUUGCCAGGACAACUUGGUAAGCAAGCUACCUAUUAUGUAGGCGCCAACUCCCAGCUUUUUCUCUUCUUUCUUUUUGAUUUUUUAUUCUCGUUUUUUGUAAGCUGUGGUUGGCAAACCAUCUAGCUAGGAUAUGAAAGAGUGGUGGUGACCGGCGGAUUGGCAAUGGCUAAGGAGCAAGGAGCGGUGCUGACUGGCGGAGUAGCACUGUAGCAGCGGCCGGUGAAGGAAAAGAUGGAUGGCGUGGGGGCCGAUGAUAGCUCUAGCAUGCGGGGCCUCAAGUGUGGGGGUCAAGAUUGAAAGGAGGGCUCGUGUGCCGGUGCAUGAGAGAGAGAGAGAGAGAGAGAGAGAGAGACAAGCUGAGAACAUGAGGGAGUUGCUAGGCUCACGAGUAGAUCGUCUCAAUGUCGAGCUUUGGCCAAGCUGAUUCCAAGUCCAACUUUGAAAGCUUAGACGAGCCACCAUGAACCAGCUUGGCUCAGCUUGUUUCCAACCCAAGGAGUAGCCUGUAGCCAGAUAGUCAAUGUCGACCUUUGUUUUUCCACAUGAAGGGCUAAUGAUAGUAGCUACAUUUUCCCCAAUGCCUCUCAAUACGAUUACUACUCACCUCAUACGAAAUAUAUCUUGAACCCAGACGCUAUAGGGGAUGAAUAAAGAAGGAUUUUGCUUAUACCAUGGUGCCCAGUGGUGCCAAUUGUUGAUUCUUGAUUGCAUUGCAAGAGAUAAAAUUGUCAUGGUGGAGCAGGGAGGUUUUGUUGUCCAUGAAUAGACGCAAACGGUUGUCGACGCAAGUGAUAGCUAGAAGUUGGUGCAUCUUGUGCUGGGUUUGUGGUUGGAGGCUGACAGUUCUGGCUUCCUCCUCCGAUGUCGUCAUCGUGUGAGGGUGUCAGAUCUGAAGUUCGAUGGUGUGUCCGGGGACAUUUUGCCCCGGUCUGAUUCUUUCAACGACAAUGGUUUAGUUUCUGGCAAACUACUUUCAAGGUCCGUAAAGCUGCCGAUCAGUGAUGGAGCCGCAUCAAGUUUGGGUGAAGAGGUGAUCUUUCUUCUUUCCCUUUGGUGGCUGCUUCGGUGGUGUUGAAGGAGAGGGGCUGCGUGGAUAUUUUGUGUAGGAUUAUCCUAUCUUUUUAGUCCUGUAAAGUCGAUGUUUACGUGCCUUAUAAUUUGAUUUUUAUUCUACAAAUGAGACACGUAUUAUCAUGCAAAAAGGUACAAAACUAAAUGUGAUGACUUGUACAUUUCUUGACCACUGUACCCGCAACCAAUGAUGCAGGUUCGUUUACGAGCAUCACACACACCCACGCUCGCGCACACACACGCAAACGUGAUGCAACACAAUGUGAGGAUGCUUCCUUUGAAUUAUGUGACAAGCAGGAUAAAGGCAUCUCUAGCAGAUCCUUUAUAUCAUGCACCCAUAUAUCGCGUUUACAGUUCGUGGCUGUCUUCGGAUAUGGGCUGAAUACAGUUGCGGCUGAACAACAACCGAAUACGAACCUGCAAAAUUUGUAAUCACAUAUUCGCUCGAGAAAUUGUACUAGUUUAGUAGGACUGCUAACACUUGAUCAUCUUAAAAAGUCAUACAAAGUAGAAAUUUUACACCUAAUAUUUGGAGGAGCAGGCGCCACCAUAACCCUAGUUACAAAAUUGGGCUCAUCAGAGCCGGGGGGAUUGCAGCGGCGACACUGUAGCGGAGGAGGAGCUCAGUCCACAUCGUCGGAGACGAGGUCGACGUAUAGACCUCGUCCUGCUUUUUGGCUACGAGGCGCCACUCUUCCAUGUUAGCCGCAAACUCCUGCGCCCCCGCGAUCCCCUGCUCGAGGAAGAUUCUAUCGAUGUCGAUGUCGACGUCCCGUUGACGGUGCUGCUUUGCCUCCUCCGCGUAGAGCGCGCAUGAUGGCAGCCGCCAUGACAUCCGCCUCCGCCGGGGGGAGGUAAUCCUCUGGCCCGACGACGCUCUGCCGCUCCGGCUCCCUCUUUACCGCGUGGAGCGGCGGGAGCUCCUCUGGCUCUCUUUUCACCGGGGUGAGCGGCGUCCUCGAGCUCGAGGCACCGGCGGAGGAGCCGGAGGACAGCCCGCGGUGGAGGAGUGCCUGCCUACGGUUGUACUCCGUCUCGCGGCGGAGGAGCGAUGGCGGUGGCGAGAGCCCGUUGUUGGUGUACCCGGGCGCUCCUUUUCCUCACGGCGUCGGCGGUGACGCACCGCCUCCGCUCGGGGUCGUCGCCACUGCCGGUGCCGCGGCCCGCCGACCACGUUCCGCAUCACAUCAAGAGGGGAGAGGGGGAAUUGAAGUCGCCGGCGGAGAGAAAUCGAGAGGGAGGAUGGGGAAUUGCGGCGGCGCGGAUAGGGUUUCGACCCGUAUUUCAGCCGCAAACCCUUACAUAUAUUGCGUGCGAAGGGGGGGGGGCAAUUUGCGGGUCACUGUAAAAGAAAUUAUGGGUCGGACGAUUAUAUAGGCUCUGGUCUUGCCCAAAAAAGGGGCCAAACCUGUAUAGUCGUCGAAUUUUUACGGGCCAUCCCAUUUUAAGAGGUCUGCUAGAGAUGCUCUAAGCCAUCUUAAAACAUGUAUUAAAGCAGAAGAUGCUUACUUAGAUCCACUAUUGGCUUUUCAUUAAACCUGAAAUACAAUUUAUAGAAAUUAAAAAAAAGAUGUAAUGUUUAUGCACGAGACCAGAGCACACUUAUUGAGACUGAUAUUGAUUUAUUGUGAAGCCAUCAUUUUCCAUGAAUCCAGUCAUAGGCCUGGGCGUUCGGUAGAAACCGGAACUGUUCGUUUUUUUAAAUUCGGUUAGCAAAAGUCAAAACCGAAAUAGGCAUGGAAAUCAAUUAACCAAAAAUCCAGUUAACCAAUUUAUUUGGUUCGGUUUCCGGUUUUAACCCAAAUUUGGAUUAAGCAUACAAAACACAGUUUCAGUGCCAUAUGCACAGUUUCAGGAAAUUUAUCAUAUGAACACUUGAACAGAAAAUGAACACAAUAGACAAUCCAUCAUUCGCUGCUGAAGUACAUGUCCACGAACAUCAUAUGAACAUGCAUCCAUCCAAGUUACCAAUACAACAGUGCAAUAACUAAACAAGAAUUUGAGGCGGAGGAUGGGACGACUGGAUGGACGGACAAGCGAGCGAGCUACAAUCGGCGAAGCAAUAGGGGGCGCUGCGCUCCUCCUCUGGUCCUUUCCUCUGCGUGCAGCGACUGCGUGAUGGUCGGCGGCAGGUGAGAAGGUGAGGGAGGAGAUGGGGGAGAUCCCAGGCAUUGGCAGUGGGCAUACAAGACGGCCCGUCGGCUUUUAGGGAGUCGAGGUCGGGGAUGUGGGAGAAGAUGUGGUGGUGGCUCACCGAGUGGCGGCCGGCGGCGGCAGCGGUUGAAUCGGGGCGGGGGGUUGAGGAUGGAGAACGAAUGCUAGGCUGUUGUGUCCCUUUGUCUAGUAUACGUGGUACGGUUGUGACCUAGGUCUAGUACGUGGCUACCGUCGGCGUGCCACUUCCAGGAGUUCCUAGUUGGGCCGGCCGGCCGAGAGGGCUGCAUGAUUUCGGCUUCUUUGGUUAACCGGUAGAAAUACCGAAACCGACCGAAUUGAGUUCGGUUAGUAACACAGGUAACCGAAUUUUCUACGCUCGUUAAAAAAAACGACGGUGUUGGUUUCGGUUCAGGUUUUGGUUGGUCGGUUUUUAUGCCCAAGCCUACCGGUCAAGAUCAAUGCUCGGAGCCUUUCAAAGCUUGAUAUAUAAACGAUGUACCCAAAGCGGCAACAAAAGCUCGAGCACCAUCCUUGUUGGAUUUCACCCAGGAGGGAUCACAUGAAAAACCACACGAACAUACAUAUAUGACCGAAACAAGUUAGCCAAAGUCAUGUGCCAUGCGCCUUUCUUUUUCAUUUCUUAAAUUCAUAACUAAAUUUUGGGACCCAUAUGUAGCACAUAUAUCUGAACCUUAACUCCACCUAAUACUAGCCAAUCAGGAACUGGUGGUAAUACACUAAUACUAGUCAGUCACGUCUGAGCCUACAGGAACAUGUAAUUCGUAAUCCAACUUUCUUGCAGUUGUUGGUCUGCGUUGUGCUAUGAAUCAUAGCCUAUGAUUAUAAUCUGCUGUUAAAAAAUAAGCAUCAAAAGUAGAUGCACGCAUGCAGAUUAUAAUCCUCCUCCACAAGAAAAGAUCCCAGCACUAUUGGAAUUUUUACGUACGCCGGGUGUAAUGCUCUUCGCCGAGUGCUAAAACACGGACAGUCGGCAAAGCAAGCUUUACCGAGUGUCACUCUCGGCAAACCCACCUUCACGGCAAACUGCAAUCUUUGCCGUCACUGCCUCACGGCGAAGAGGCACCGUAUGGCAAACCCUGUAGACGCCGAGAGCCGCUCAUGGCAAAGAGUAGCCACGUGGCAUGCCCGUCCGCAACAGACGGCUCCGUCAGUUACUGCGUACUUUGCCGAGUGUCGCUCUCGGCAAAGCACAUACAACAUCCUAUAUUUUUUUUUGUGUGUUCUUUCUAACUGACAUGUGGUCCCACUGGUGACAUUUUAUCAGUAAAAACAAUGACGAUAUCUUUGCCCAGAGGUGCUCUCGGUAAUCCUUCAUGGGAGCUGACAGUUUACAUAGCUUUGCCGAGAGCUAGGCUCGGCAAUGCUCUCCUUUUUUGAGAGCUUCUGUCGAAAAAGUUGUGGCACAACAGUAGUGUCCCAGACGACCAUGUUUCCGAGAGUUGCUCUCGGUAGUCUACCUUUUUCCGAGUGUUGCUCUCGGAAAUCUUUCCCAUCCAUUCUGCUGUCAAGCUAUUUCUUUUCUGAUCCCUGCAGAUAAAAACCACUACAGUGCAAUUUGAUCUAGUCCACACAUAUAUAGGCAUAAUUUGAUCAUAUAUAGGCAUAAUUUGAUCUAGUCCACCUAUAUAUGCAUAAUUAGGGAUAGUCCACAUAUUGUCACACACAAGUCGAAUGUAUUAUCCUAGUAGACGUCACACACAAGUCGCAAAUUCAUACAUAUUGUCACUGCUUGCAAAACACGUGCACGUCACAAUAGAAGUACACUUGUUCAUAUAUAGAUCAUCUUGAUGAGGAGAGGCCAUCGGGUUAACAUUCCGGAGGAGGAGGAGGGGCAUCACUUGCACUGCUUAGAGAUUGCAUAAGAAUCUAUAAGAGUAGACUCACGUGAGGGUGGUUCGUCCCUAUGUAAUGAAUCUUCUACUCUAGUUUAGAUAAUGUUCUACCUGUAGUUGAUCCUCAAGCAUCUUCAACCUAUUGUUAGUGUCUGCCCGUUCCUUUUCUCUGGACUCCUCCUCAGCCUUCCGCCUUUGCUCCUCUUCAACAGCCCGCUGCGCCAUUAAAUCCUGUAACAUGGCAUUAGGCUCAUAUAGGUUGAAACGGUGCUAUUUCAAGGCAUGUACAUAAAUAAAAGGUUAGGAUGCUAACCUUGAGACGCGCUAUCUCACAUGAUGCGGCAGUUGGGCGACUCCGUAUGGACGGAGUGAGCUGGUGCUCGACGCACGUAUCUCGUGCAGCUUGCGGUGCCCAGAGGUGGUGGUCGCCCCGUUGCAAAGGAGGUGGCGACCAUGGCCCUUCCCCUGGCCAGCAAUGAUGAGAAGCUCAGGGUCAAGGGGCUUGGACGUAGGUUCGGCUUCCUUCCCGUGCACCUCCUAGAAGACCUCUUUGAAGGUCCCCCACUUCUCCUCCGCCGACUUGCUGCAGAACUCGGCGCCAUCCUUCCCCUUGUGGCCUUCUUUCCAGGCUUCCAGGAUGUGGACCGGUCGACCAACCUUCGCCUCCUGCAAAAUUAACCAUCAAGUUGAAUGAACCAAGAUGCACCGUGCGAAAAAGUUAACAUCUUAAUCCACAUACCAUGUGUUGCUUGAGAGCGGUUAGGUUCCGGCUCCCCUAGACAUGGGCCGGGCCUGGCAUUUUGGCUCGUUCGUUUCCCUUCUCCACAUGCUGCGCCUGCCAUGCUGGGUCACACCACAUGUCAACCAGGGCCUCCCAACAAUCGUCCUUCAUCCAGGGUUCCUUCACCUAGUCAGAAAAAAUCGAAUAAUUGAGGAACAAGAGGGAUGAAUCAAAGUACUAGCAACCGAUGUAGUCACUUACCACUAACAGGUAUUCUUCUCGCGACAAGUUGGUCUGGCAAGCAGUCUUCCUUGUCAUCUUCUCGCCCUUCUCAUUGAGCGGCCGACACUGCAUCACGGCUUUGUACCACAGCGUGUGCUUGGUGUCAGAGAGUAUCUUUCGGUCAGAUUUCACGAUGCCUUUGAUUGCCUUCUGCUGCUCACCAUCCACGCAAGCAAAUGUUUGCUACAAGAAAGCAUAUGGCAUCUUCUCACCAUCCACGCAAGCAAGGAUUUGGAUAUGAAAAAAUGCAGUGGUCGGAGCUAAGAUACUUACAAAAAAGCAUUGAUGACCCGAGUGGCCAUGGUGACAUCGUGCUCAUCCUUGUUGUGUAGGUAAUGCUCCCAGGUUAAACCUGGCGACGGCGGAUCGUCAUCACCCGGCUUGGACAAUCCAGGGAAGUGCUUCCUCAAGAGGGAGCUGAUGAUGUGGUUCGGCGGGCGUGCCCCCUUAGGUUGUGUCAGGAUAAAUUCCCACCGACUGCAUGAUAUAAAAGACAAGCAUAUGUGAGUGUCAAAGCUAUGACAUCCAAAAUAUGAUGCAAAUGAAAUGCUUGCUUACCCCUCUCCUGUCGGGCAAAUGACAGGAUGGUUGCUGGCAGCAGUUGGUUCCGGGACCUUCCCCGGACCACGCCCGGAUUUCUUCCUCUUGGAAAUGUUGCUCGAUGUAGACCCCGAGCCGUCCGAGGCCUCCAUGUCGCCCGACUCAGUGGCGAGCGGAUCUAAGUCCACUCCGACAUCGCCAUCCGAUGAUGACGAUGCCUCGGUUGUGGCAUGAUGGGAGGCGAACGACUCGGCCCUACCAAUCGGGACUCUCCGGUACUUAUUACGAGUGCUCUCAUCAGAAUCUGAAAAACAAAAUAUAUAUGGUUACUCUCAGUUCCAAAGCAAAAUCUUCCUAAUCUAAGUGUCAUAUCAUAUAUGGCAAAAAAUAACACAAAUAGCUCAAUCAAGUCUCAGAUAUAUAGUUCCAUUUACUAAUGACAUAACACUGACAAGGAUUUUUUUUUGAAACGAAAGGGGUUGCCCCCCUGCCCCAAAUUUUUAUUAAAAAAGCAAAGGCAACCUAAGAUCAGAGUUCACCACUGACAAGGAAAUAAGCACAACUAUAUAGUUUCAUUGAUCUACUCUAGUAUUUAUCUAAAAAAAACACAAGCACUAGUAUUGAUCCUUCGAGCACUCAUUCAGUUUAACUAAAACUAAACCAGUCAAGCAUAGGAGUCAAAACCAAAGCAUUCUACUCUAGGCAUUAUUCCAAACUUCUAAACUUCCAUACUACUCUAGGAUAUCACUUACUUCGAGGCAUGGACCAUCAAACGUACCAAAUACGACAAGGGCAAGGACCCUCUCCACCCGGAGAUGGACUGGAUCAUCUCUAAAGCCCGGUCAGAUGGAGAGAACUACACCAAAAAAUUAAAGGAGACGUACGGGCCUGACGCUGAUCCUCACGUGCUACCGUUUGACCCUCUUGUGGCCAUUGCCACGGCAGGAGGUAGACCGAAUGGCCGGAUGGCGGUUCACCUCGAUUCUGUCAUAACCUCCUCCCUUCCGACAGUCAACACGCUCCGUGCUAUGAGUACUGGCUCUACUCCUACCGUAGAGCGUCACGUACCACAUUCCGUGAGCAUUAUUGAGGAUAUUCAGGUCAGUGCUUCUUCAUUGAUCCUUCAUGGUCCUUCUUCAUUGAUCCUUCUUCAUUAUUGAGGAUAUUUGCAUUUCAACAUGAAUGACAUUUGCAUUGCCAUAUUGUAGACUCGACUGAUUGACACCGAGAAAGAACGAGAUGAAAACCGGGCCAAGUUGAAGGCACAAGAUGAUCUAGUGAAGUCUUUACAACAUAUGGUGGCCAAUCUUUAUUCCAUGCAAGGCCAACCAGUGCCAGAGAUGCCACCGAUGCCAGAGUGGAACAUUGUGAGUUUUGUUCCAACUAUUACUAUCACCAUUUUCGGCAUUACCAUAUGCAUUCAUCUCACUAUUGGGUCAAUCCAUCACAACUCAACCCAUCACAAGGGUCGAACAAUGUUCCGGUAGUUCCACCUCAAGUUGGUGGAGUUGGGGCAGCAAAGGGAAUGAUGCCUUCUAAUGUUGAUGUUAUCACUCCGGUUCAUGGAGUUGGGGCAACAAACGGAAUGAUGCCUUCUAAUGUCGAUGUUAUCACUCCGAUCUCCAAAAUCGCGUGAACUUCAUGUUAUGUUUGAAACUGUUCCUUGUAUGUUGAGAACUCUUGCAUCUUGAGACUUGUAAACUUGUGGUCUAUUGCUUUGAUGCACUAUUGCUUUUAUGUGGAAUGUUUUUCAGAAUCAAUCAUUGCUUCUUUUGUUCAAUGAUGCCUACAUGGGACAUGUUCUAUGUGUGAUGAACUAUAUGCUGCUGCUGUAUAUGUUUCGCUGCAGGAAAGAAACAGAAACAGGGAAAAAAGGCUCCUGGGCACACUAUUGCCGAGGGCGGCUCUCGGCAAUGACUGUGAAAUUGGACCAGAACGCACCCUUUACCGAUAGGCCUCUCGGUAAAGGAUAAUAACCUGUAGUCCUCCUGGCACCUUUACCGAGAGGCCUCUCGGUAAAGGAUAAUAACCUGUAGCCCUCCUGGCAACUUUACCGAGAGGACUCUCGGUAAAGGAAAAAGAAUUGCCGACGGUGGCUCUCGGCAAACUAUUUUCACGGCUUUUAGGAGAAGUGAUGUGGCCCUUCCCUAUUGGCUGAGUUUGCCGGGAGUCACACUCGGCAAAUAUAGAGUUUGCCGAGAACAUCCCUCGGCAAAGUUGUCAUUCUUUGCCGAGAGUGGCACUCGGCAAAGAUGGCCCUCGGCCUGUUUGCCUGGUCCCACCUGUUAGGAGCUGACAUGUGUCAGCCACCUACUGGCUAUCUUUGCCGAGCGUGGCGCUCGGCAAAGAUGGCCCUCGACCUGUUUGCCUGGCCCCACGUGUCAGGAGCUGACAUUGUCGAGAGGGGCACUCGGCAAAGAUGGCCCUCGGCCUGUUCACCUGGUCCCACGUGUCAGGAGCUGGCACGUGUCAGCCACCUACUAGCUGGCUUUGCCGAGAGGCGCACUCGGCAAAGAUGGCCCUUGGCCUGUUCGCCUGGUCCCACAUGUCAGGAGCUGACACGUGUCAGCCACCUACUGGUUGUCUUUGCCAAGAGGUGCACUCGGCAAAGAUGGCCCUCGGCCUGUUCGCCUGGUCCCAUGUGUCAGGAGCUGACACAUGUCAGCCACCUACUGGCUGUCUAUGCCGAGAGUGGCACUCGACAAAGAUGGCCCUCGGCCUGCUCCCCCUGGUCCCACGUGUUAGGAACCGCCGUCACCGUCUGCUAUCCGUUAGCUACUUUAUUUUGCCGAGUGGUACUAUUUGACUCUCGGCAAAGUCUUUGCCGAGUGCCCGCGUUCUGACUCUCGGCAAACUCCUGUUUGCAGAAGAGGUGUACGCCGGGUGGCUUUUGCCGAGGGUGACACUCGGCAAAGGCUUUGCCGACGGUUUUUGGCCCUUUGCCGAGUGUCUGUGGCACUCGGCGUAGCACAGAAUUCCAGUAGUGCGGGAUUCCCUCUUCCUCCCAUCCGUGCCGCCGCCGGUCUGUCCAUCUCCGAUGGUCUUUGGGCCAUGGAGGUGUGGAGGACCUCGGGCCCCCGCCGGCAGGGGGGGGGGGGGCGUUCUUGUUCUUACUAGUUUCGAACAAAUUGCAAAAACCAUCAUAAUUGGGGACCCUAAUUCAUAAAUCUUGUUUACUCAUGGAUUUGUGAAUUAGGGUUCAUGAAGGAGAGGAGACAUUGGGGAAAAUUCUGGGGUCUUCUACCAAUCCCCUUCUCACUUCUCUUCAUUUAUAUUUUUGUUCUUUUACGAUGUAGUCUUCAUGUCCUUACAUAAUUACAACUCACAUCAACACUCCCCCUCAAGAUGGGGUGAAUAUAUCAUACAGACCCAUCUUGCUACAGAAAAUAGAGAAUGAUUUCUCGGGUAGACCUUUUGUAAGUAUAUCCGCUACUUGACUAGAUGAACUUACAUAAGGCAUACACAUUAUUCCUCUAUCGAAUUUCUCUUUGAUGAAGUGAUGAUCAAUUUCCACAUGUUUGGUUCUAUCAUGUUGCACUGGGUUAUUUGCAAUAUCUAUGGUGGCCUUGUUAUCACAUUAUAGCAUCAGUGGUGAUUCCUUGAACAACCCUAGUUCUGUCAGUAAUAUCUUUAACCAUAAUACCUCACAUACACCAUGUGCCAUAGAUCAGAACUCAGCUUCUGCUGUGGAACUAGCCACAAUAGUUUGCUUCUUGUUGCGCCAUGAAACUAAAUUCCCACCAACGAAGGUACAGUACCCAGAUGUUGAUCGUCGAUAUCCAGUGAGCCCGCCCAAUUCGCAUCAGUAUAACACUCAACCUGGAAAAUUCCCUGAUGACUGUACAGUAAACCCUUUCUAGGACACCCCUUCAAAUAGCGUAGGAUUCGAGUCACGACAUCCAUAUGAUAUGAUCUUGGGUCAUGCAUGAAUUGGCUCACUACACUAACAACAAAUGAAAUAUCUAGUCGAGUAUGAGACAGGUAAAUGAGCUUACCGACUAAUCUUCGAUAGCAUUCACGGUCCACGGAUUUUCCUGAAUCACUCAUCAGGCGAUGGUUUUGCUCAAUUGGGCUUGCAGCUGGACGACACCCAAGCAUACCUGCCUCUUGUAGUAGGUCUAGGACAUAUUUUCUUUGGGAAAGGAAAAUACCUUUUGUUCCUCUAGAUACUUCUAUCGCAAGAAAAUAUCUCAAGUGUCCCAAAUCCUUGACUUCAAACUCUUGCGCAAGAUGAUGUUUUAAGUGAAAAAUUUCCUCUUGGUCAUCACCUGUGAUAAAAAUGUCAUGCGCAUAUACAAUGAGGAGGACAACCUUGCUCAUUCUAUGUUUGUAAAACAUGGUGUGAUCUGCAUUGCUCUGAGUGUACCCAAUUCUCAACAUAGCAUGCCGAAACCUGUCAAACCAGGCCCUCGGCGAUUGUUUGAGCCCGUACAAGGAGCGACUUAAGCGAAGUACCUUUCUAGUAACAUAGCCGGACUCGAAACCUGGUGGGACCUCCAUACACACUUCUUCUUGAAGGUUGCCAUGAGGAAAUGCAUUUUUUACAUCCAUCUGGUGAAUGUUCCAGUUCAAGUUUGCUGCACAUGAUAUGAGUGUUCUACCAGAAUUCAUUUUUCCUAUAGGUGCAAAUGUUUCCUCAUAAUCAAUUCCAUAUGUUUGGGUAUAUCCCUUUGCCACAAGGCAAGCUUUAUAUCUAUCCACUUUACACUCUAGGGUAUGCUUAAUGUUGAAAACCCACUUGCAACCUACAGGUUGUUUACCUGGUGGUACAUCCACAAGCUGCCAGGUUUUAUUCUUUUCCAAAGCUCACAUCUCUUCAUGCAUAGCUUCCCUCCACUUUGGAUCCUCUUUGGCUAUGUCCCAACUAUUAGGUAUGAAUGUGGAAUCUAGAGGUGUAAUGAAGCUCUGGAAGGAUGGGCUACAAUGUUUGUAGGAGAUGAAAUUGGCUAUGUUGUGUUUAUAACCAACGUCGUAGUCUUUUAGGUGUGGGGAAGAUUUAAGGUUCUAGUUGGUUUUCUCAAGGCAAUGGGUAAAUUACCUCGUGGAACAGAUGUCGACAAUUGGUUAUCACUCUCACCCAUGGUGCUAGUAGGAGCAAUAGGACUAGGAGAGUGGUCAUCAGUACCUGGGCCAUCAUGUGCAGAGUGAUCAACAUUCUGUGAAGGUGAUAAUGAAUCUCCUAUUGUAUCUUUGCAUGUCUCCAUGACCAGAACUGUUACUCUCCUCAUGGUUAGGAAUAUUAUUAUCAAGAGCAGAAGCAUCUGGAGAGGGACAAGUAUUGAUCCAAUAAGGGUGCCUCCACCACUGCUCUCCCCCUCUUGUCCUACUUCAGGUGGGGAAAGAACAAUGUCAGCGUCAUUGGCUGAUCCAAGAUAAUAAGGUUCAUGUUCACGAAAGGUCACAACCAUACUCAUAAAGAACCGACGUUUAGAGGGACACCAACACCUAUAGCCCUUUUGAGAAGGAGAAUAGCCCAUAAAGACACAUUUGAUGGCACGAGGAUCUAAUUUCCCAACAGAAUUUCAAUAAUCAUGCACAAAAGAAACACAACCAAAUACCUUUGGAGGGACCACAAAAUCAUUUUUGUAUUCAAAAGACACUCAGCUGGAGACUUAAACUCACGUGUGCGUAGAGGUAUACGAUUUAUUAAAUAUGUUGCUGUUUCUAUUGUCUCCCCCUAAAGAAACUUAGGGACAUUCAUGGUGAACAUGAGUGAAUGAGCAACUUUAAGUAAAUGCCUAUUCUUACAUUCUGCAACACCAUUCUGUUCUGGUGUAUUAACGCAUGUAGUUUGAUGUUCAAUGCCAUGUGAUGGAAGGAACUGUCCAAACUCCAUGUUAACAUAUUCAGUACCAUUGUCAUAACGUAAGGUUUUUUAUAGUUGUUCCAAACUGGUUUUGAAUGAGAGUACACAAAUCUUCGAAAAUAGGGAACACAUCACUUUUAUGCUUCAAAAGGUAAAGCCAAGUGUAACGACUAAAUCCAUCAAUGAAAGUCACCCAUGUCCAGAAACAGAAUAAACCUCACAGGGCCCCCAAACAUCAGAAUGUAUUACUUCAAAUGGUUUAUGACAUCGCAAACCCCUGCUAGGAUAGAUGCCCCUUGUAUGUUUUGCUAAUUCACAUGCGUCGCAUACAAGGGAUUCUCUAGGACACACGUUAAAGAGAGAGGGAUAAAUACGUGACAUAGCAACAAAAGAGAGGUGUCCCAAUCUUCGGUGAUGAAGUAACAAUUCUUGAGUAGGACUGUAGGAGACAUGCAAGUUGCAAGAGAAAUUUCAUCUCCCCCUUCAUCAAGAUAGUAGAGUCCCUCAUGCAUGGUCCCAGUCCUGAGAACUCUCCUUGUCCCAAGCUCCAGAAAAGCACAACAUGUAGGAUCAAACCAACAUCUACAAUUGAGAGCUCUAGUGAUGGAGCUAACUGAUAAUUGGCUGAUAGGAAAUUUAGGAACAUGCAGAACUGGUGAUAAGGACAAUGUCUUGGUACACUGGACGGUUCCACGUUCUGUAAUAGGUGCCAUGGAACCAUGAGCAACACGAACUUUGUCCUUACCAGAGGUAGGUGUGUAGGAAGUAAACAAGUUUGAGGCUCUUGUUAUGUGGUUAAUUAGUAGCUCUAGUAUCAAUUAUCCAUGAUUUUGAAUGGGCUUAGCGGGAUUCCAUAUAUACCUUGGGUGAUGGCAUUAAAGCUAGAAUCAACUUUGGAGAAACCUUGGGACGAAGAUGAGCCUUCAAAGAGUUUGAGCUUGGAUUUGAAAUCCUCAAGAGCUUUCAUAUCUACCGCAGGUAGUUCCUUUGCAGAUGCAUUGUAAUUAGCUUGUCUUUUGUUUGAACCCCGAGCUCCCCCCUAGCUGACAUCUCCCUUUAUCCCACCAAGGUGGAUAACCAUGCAACUCAAAACAAUCACCCUUGGUGUGUCCUUUUCUGUUGCAAUGGUCACAAAGCAACUUGCUUUUAUCGACCUUACCAAAGGAAUUUGUAGCACGGCGUGGUUGUAUGGAUAAUGCAGCAUGAGCAUCUGCACGCUCCUGACCCUCCUCCUUCGGUUGUGCCAAACGAGUCUCCUCCUCAAUCAUGCUAGAAAUAAUAUCAUCAAGACUAGGCCACUCAGGCAUUGCAAAUAUGAAUUGACGACAAAGGUUUAUUUCCUGGUCUAGGCCAUCUAGAAAGAGCUUGCUCACAAACGACUCAAAUCACACAUGAUGAAUUGCCAAGUCAUCCUUGUGAACAGGUUCAAAAGGGUGAUGAUAAUGCAAGUCUCUGUAUAAUUUUUUUACUUCACCUGCAUACUCUGUUACAGAUCUUGAGCGCUGCUUCAAAUUAGUUAACUCAUGCAUGAUACGGGUGGCUUGCAUUUUAUUUGUUUUCCCUGCAAAUUGUUUCUUCAAAGAUGACCAGACCUCACAAACAGUGUCCAUGCCUUCCACUUGUUCUCUAAUUGUUGGUUCCAUACUUCCCAACAGCCAUACUAGUACUUUAUCAUUGAUUUGUUUCCUGCCCGCACUGCCUUUCUCCAAACUAUCUUCAUUGCCAACAAGUAAAUAAUCAUACUCAUUGGCACUCAAAAUCAAUUUGGCAUGGCGUGCCCAACUGAUGUAGUCACCAGGUCCUGAUAGUCUGACUGGAUUUUGCUCAAGUGUAUGCUUAACUGGCUCAGCAGCACCCUUUGAUUGCUGCUGGUGCUCAAGCAGUUUGCUAAAUAUUUCAUACAUCUUAUGAACACUAGAAUCCCCUGUUUUUUUUCUGUACUUGGAUCUCCCAUGGUUCAAUGAGCAAGAAUAUAUUCCAACACUAGUACUUGGUUCUUCUUCUCAAACACGUGCAGCACAAAGAGGAACCAACUAGUACAGCUCAACAAUGUGCCAAAGAGUACGGCAAUUACUUCAGAUUGCAACACUAGCAAAUAGUAUUAUUUAAUCCGGCCAGCUGACCUCCAAAGCAGCUCCAGGCAACACCGAUACUGCUUCUAAAGCAAUAAAAAAACACAGAUGCUCAAGGAGUCCGAGAGUCAAGUUGGGGACGAACUACACCUGCUCACGAUGCCGGAUGGCAGGAGAGAAAAAAUUAGCUUGUAGCGGGCGAGGGAGUCCAGACGCCCAGGCUCUAUAACUCAACUUGUAGCUGCAGGAGCCUCCCCGAUUGUACUGUACUUGAUUCAGACAGAAUCAAGGUCGCUUCCCAACUCCUACAGCAAAGCCAGCAGCAGAAGCACCUCCAACAAUAGGAGCGACACAGUACCGCACCGACGGCCAAACUCAAUAGGAAUCAUAGGAGAACCACACAGGAUUCGUCCUGCCCUGAUACCAUCUUUUUGUGAACUAGGGUUCAUGAAGGAGAGGAGACAUUGGGAAAAAUUCUGGGGUCUUCUACCAAUCCCCUUCUCACCUCUCUUCAUUUAUAUUUUUGUUCUUUUACGAUGUAGUCCUCAUGUCCUUACAUAAUUACAACUCACAUCAACAAUAAAACCACCAUUAUUCAAUUUUUUUUCAAAAACCCACCGCCAUUGUGGUGACAUUUUUCAAAAAACACUCCGCGAUGUCCCUCAGUAGGAAUAAAGUCUCCCACGUUCUACGAUGGUGCGUCUAGUGUCAUCGUAGGGCAUGUGGAGGUGUAUCUCCUUCGGAUCUCACGGCAUUCAGUUGGUGCUGGUUUUUCUGUGGACUGUUUGGGGCCAGUGUUCGUUCGUCUUCGCUUGGGUGUUUAUAGGUUUGAUCCUUCCAAUCUAUGAUUUUUUUCAUCGGCCUUAACACGACGAUUUUCAACUGUCUACUGCAACAAGCUUUGCCCAGCUUCAGCGUGGGAGGGGCAAUAAUGGCGGUGCCUUCAGCUCACUCUAGUGUUUUUAGUCGCCGCUAGGUGGUCAAUGGACAUGGUUGUAAUUUAUAUCACCUCUAGUGUUCUUUGUACUGCCAUGAUCGAAAAUGAAUAUAUUGAAAGUUUCUCCUGCAAAAAAAAAGUAGGCAAAAACAUGUCGAAACAGAAAAGCGGAUGGAACCAACAAGACUAUGAUAAUCCACCAUAAUGCCAAACAAAGCCUAGAACGCACGAAAACCUGCCGAACAAACAUACUUGGCAUGGUUCUCUCCUCUUGAGAAAUCGUACACACAAAAGUCUUGCCACGCAGAUGACUAUGAGACUGCCACACGGACUCCAAGCAGUUCACACAACCGGCACACAUCCGCAAGCUUUGCGUCUCACAUCCAAUUUCGUGCAGCAACUCAUCCAGCUCCAUCUCCGGAGAGGCCUGCGCCGGGGAUUACAAGGCCACUUCUUCCUACUAUCCAGAUCACGCUGGUCCGGUCCCUGACCGAGCCGGCGGCCGUCCGGACCGCACUGAGCAGCGCGCUGGUCCCUUUUCCAUGCACCGGGCCGGUGAGGCAAAAGCUCGGUAACCGAACGAUGGCAUGCGUGCGUUAUCGUUCAUGGUGUAUGCGUGCAGCAUGUAGAAGCUGGAGUACGUGUUGCUGCUGCGUCUCGACGGCAUCUCUUGUUCGACUCCGAGAUCACUGGCCAUGAACGAGAUCAACCAUCUCCGCCGAAUACAGAGCUAACAGAAAACGGGAAAUCAGGCCACGGCGGAGACGCGAACGCUGCCAUCCCAACGUUCGUCGACCGCUACCCUACAUCGUCGCCAUGAUCGUUUUAGUAUCGUGCCAUCCCACGAUCACUAAGACCAAGUCGCGGCUUAGCUUGUUUCACUAAUUGAGGAAAAUCCUAACUGACGAAUCUGCACUUUAACAGCUACUGCUGACGAAACUGAAUUUUUCUGAAACUUCGACAACAACUGGUGGUAACUGACAACAUGGUGAUCGGAGGGACGGCACGGGGCGUGCGUCCGUGUGCGCUAAGGUCGCCGUCGCGUCCGUGCGCUUGUUUCUGCCGUCAUCCUCGGUGUCCGCGGUGGUCGCGAGCGGGAGCGCGAGCAGAUUGUGUCAACUUUGAAAGCUUAGACGAGCCUACCAUGCAGACCCAUCAACCGGCUCAGCUCGACUUGUUUCCAACCCGAGGAGCAGCCUGUAGCUAGAUAGUGAGCGAUGACCUUUGUUUUUCCACAGGAAUGAUGAAAGGCGGUAACUACAUUUUUCCCAAUGCCUCUCAAUACAAUUACCGGACAUCUCACAUGGGAAAUAGUUCUUGAAACCAGACGCUACGGGGAAGAACAAAAUAGGGAUAUAGAUUAUACCAUGGUGGCCAGGGUGCCAAUUGUUGAUUGCAUUGCAAGAGAUGUUGUAUCUUGAUACGGGCAAGUAAUUGCCAUGUGAAGCCUAGCUGAAUGAUAUAGCCUGCAGGUUACACAAUUGAAUGUCAUGGCUUGUACAUUUCUCAACCACCGUACCAGGGAUAAAGAGAAACACAAACGUGAUGCACCACAAUGUGAGGACGCUUCGUUUGAAAUGUGCGACAAGCAGGGUGAGCCAUCCCAAAACUUGUACUCCAUCCGUUCGACAAGAUAAGAGUAUUUUUUAUACUAGUGUAGUGUUAAAAGCGCUUUUAUAUGGUGGGACGCAGAGAGUAUUAGAAUCGAGGAUGCUUACUUAGAUCCACUAUUGGCUCUUCCAUUAAACGUGAAAUAAAAUUUAUAGAAAUUGAAGAAAUGAGCACAAGACCAGAGCACACUUAUUGAGACUGAUAUCGACUUAUUACGAAGCCAUCGUUUCGCGUGAAUCCAGUCAAGAUCAAUUUCCAGAGCCUUUCAAAGCUUGAUAUAGAGGAUGUACCGAAAACGGCCGCGCAAAAGCUUGAGCACCAUCCUUGUUGGAUUUCACUCAAGAGGGGUCAUAUGAAAAACAACAUAUAUAUAUGAUCGAAACAAGUUAGGUAGAUUCAUAUGCCACGCGUCUUGACCAUCAGAUUUCUUGGUGUGAGUGGCGCGAGGUCACAUCACAUCAUCAAUCGUGUAGAUAGGGCGACAAUUUUUGCCAUGAAGGUGUCUUUGGGUUGCUAUAUAUACUAGUAAUUUGUACGUGCUUUGCACGUAGCUGAUUACGUAUAAGCAUGGUACUAAAUUAGUGUAAAAAACUAAAGCACACAUAUAUUAUGAUUAAUUUUUUUUAUAGAAGCUUCAAAUGGAGAUAUCCGAUAGGCAUCUGUGGAAUCAUUUUUGGGCUUCGCAAGGCCGGAUAACAACUAUUCCCCAAAAAACAUAGUACAAUGAUUUUCUUAAUAUGAAACAUUGGAUAUAAUCUUUGCCCUUUUAUAUAUAUAUAAAUUGUUUAGGAAGUCCUUCAAUUUAUUGGACUCAUACUAAAAACUUAUUUUUUUAGAAAAAUGAUGUGAAAAAAGAAGUACAAUUAAUAAUAAAUUUUCACCUUCGCAAGCUCAUGUCAGCUAAGAAAAUAAAAGGAGUCAAAACGUACUCUUUCCUCAUAGGUUAUUUGCACAUUCUCAUUCUAAUUAUCCUAGGUACCUUACUACUUGUUUCAAAUGAUAAGAAAAUGGAAAAGUUCACAAUGCAUACAACAUUGCAAUGCUAGGCUCGCAUGCUAGCCUCUCGUGAAGCGGUCGAUGCAUGCAUGUAGGCAGGUAGUACGAAUUAAAUAAUUUAGAGGAGCAAGUGUCCAGCCCAUAGUGGAAAGAUCCAGAACAUAGUCAGAUGAUGGGUCACACAGCGAAUUCUAGAAAUAGCAGACAUAAGUUUGGAGCAGCCACUGUUGAUGCGAAUCCCGCUGCUCCCAACCGUUAGAUUGAGAGCACCAAUGAUCAGGAUUGAUAUUCUAGAUCCAUUCAAAACUCGUACACUAUAUAGUGGUAUAGAUAUAUUUUGCAAGGCCUUGUUGAAUAAUGCAAUAAAGAUGGCUGUGUGCAUCGCUCGAUGCAGAGACCGGGGGUAGUCGUCCUUUUUGAGAAAAACUAUGCAACGCGUCUUUCUUUUUCAUUUCUUCGAAUUUACACUACAUUUUGGGACCCAUAUAUAAAACAUAUAUGUGAACCUAAACUCCGUUUAAUACUAGGCUAAGACGGUCUGAGCCUACACGAACAUUCAUGUAAUUACGUAAUCCGACUUUCUUGCAGUUGUUGGACUGUGUGUUGUGCUAUGAUUAUAAUCUGCGGUUAGAAAAGAAGCAUCAAAGUAGGCAACAACAAGUGAACCAAACACUUAAAUAGAGAAAAACAGAUGUAACAAACAAGAUUACGAGAAUCCACCAUAAUGGGCGAAUACAACUUUCAAACUACUGGUUCCCAAUGUUGUUCACGCGGCUCCGUCAUGUAGAGAAUGCAGAGGACGGUCAACAAUGUUGGCAAGAACAACGAGUGACCGAGGCGGAGUAGCUACGUGCGAGGGAAUGGCUUCCACUGGAGGAUUGACUAUGGUUGACGUAGUGGUGCUGGCUGGCCAAGGAGCAGAUGGACGGGUUGGGAGUGGGCUGUGGAGUGGAGAUGUCUGCCAGGGCUCUAGCGUUUCGUGCAUUGCGUGCUGGGUUCAGGAGCAGGAGAAGAGCACAUACACGGGUACAGUGACGAGCAACGGGAGUUAUUGGGCUCGCGUGCAGCUCUCGCCGAACUCAAGCUUUGACAUGGCCGAGUUCAAGCUUAGUUUUGUGAGGUUUGACGAGCCUGGACGAGGCAAGUCAUGACCCGGCUCGACAUGGCUUGUUUCCACCCCUAGCAACAGCCUUAAGCUAGAGAGACAUCAUUUAGCUUUCUCGUUUUACACGGUGGAUGUGUGCUGGAUGCUAAUUUUUCCCAAUACCUCACAAUCCGAUUACCAUUUAGGCAUUUCCCCCCCGUGGAUAAUAUAUCUUUGAUUCCAUAUACCACAGAAGAACAACAAAGGGGGAUGUAGAUCAUAUUGUGGUGGCCAGCAUGCUAAUUGUUUCAUGCAUUGCAAAUGGAAUAGAUGAUGUACCUUGGGAAAUAUAUAGAGUUGGGCAUGUAAUGGCCAUGUGCUAUAGCUAAAAAUUAUGUAUCCUGCAGGUACACGCCAUGAAUGUCCUGAUUUGUAGAGCUCUCAACUACCUUCAGCCAAUAAUGAUAGAACCAGUUUGUUUAUGAGCAUCGGGAUGCCCUCGUAAAGAAAAAACCUCUUGAGAUGCAAUGCAACACACACCAAGUGCUCAGACUCGUCCAGUCCCACUCCGAGGAGAUGGUCGCUGAUCUAGCACUAGAGGCGAGCGGUGGUCCUGGACCGGUUGAUGGCCCAGGCCUCCACGAGCAUGAGGUCCAGUAGGACCCAGGCUAGCACGGCUUCAGACCUCGUGAAUGACGCCCGAUGUUGUGCACUGCCUUGGAGGCCAUCACGGAUAAUGUCAUCAUUAUUGAGGAUGAGCCAUUGACACCGAGGUAGUAGGUGAGGCAGCCACAUGCCUUGGCGAUCUCCGGGAAGGGCUGAUAACUCAUAAGUGCAGAGGAUCAAUUUUAGCAUUUCCAAUAAGUAAGAUUGUCGAACCCAACAAGGAGGUAAAGGUAAGACUAAUAUUCUCUCAAGUUCUAUCAACCUUGAUCCUGAUGCUACUGGAUACGCUGAAAGAGCAAACAAAGCCAAGAAGCUAGUCAAGAUCAGUGCUCGGAGCAUUGCAAAGCUGGACAGAAACUAGGUGAUGAAAGUUGCAGCAAAAGCUCGGGCAUCAUCCUCUGUUCUCCGACCAAUAGAUGCCCGCCAUGGCCAUGAAGCUGAUAUUAGCUCCAGUGGCAAUGACAGUGUCAGGAGUAGUAUGAGUGUUGAUUACAGUGCUACAAAGGAAUCGGGGAGUGAGAUGACGUUGUCUCCUCUAUAGAACUCGUAUCCAUAGAGUCUUGCAAGCCAGGAUGACUAUGAGACUGGCACACAGACUGCAAGCAGUUUAAGCAGCCCGGUACACAUCCACAAGCUUGCCCCUCAUGCUCAAUUUCGUGCAGCACCUCAUCCAGCUCCACCUCCUGAAAGGCCUGCGCUAGGGAUUACAAGGCCACAUGUUCCUGCCACACAUAUAAGUAACAACCCAAUGUUCCAGUCAGCCACAUCAUAUGUCAGGGAGAACCGAAGAGCCUCUGUGGUCUAGGAUCAAGAGGCUGGUCGGUACAUGUCAGUGCCCAUGCAAACAACAAGAACAGGACCCAGUGUUGAGCUGCCUGCAAGAAACCGAAGUUUCUUGGCGAAUCCAAGUGGUGAACCAGGCAACCAUGGGAGAAAUCUUGCACCUGCCAACACAACUUCAUCAGCGAUUCCUUCGGGGCAGCCAUCCGAGAGGUUGACGUACAUAGGCCAAUCAAUAUUCUUUGGUGGGCCAAUCCUGAGCACCACUGGCAUAAAUGCAGAAAGGAAUGAGGCGGGCACAAGAGUGCGUACUGAGACAAGCAGAGAUCCCAACCUCCACCAGCGUGACAUCCGUGGCGAGAAGGCUCGUACAGGUUCCUUCCCAUUGUUUGAGCCUAGGAAUUUCUAGAAGAACCUGCUUUGCUGGCAAGUGACCUUGACCGGCUGUUUUACUCCUCUCUACUAUGUCGUCUGCUCAAGUGCCACCACCAUGAUGUCAGGGAACUGCUGAAGUAGUUGACAUGGGGCUUCAACGAUACAUAGAUAACGAUGCUUUUUAGAGCUUUAUUAUAGUGAGUGAGGAUGGCGCUAACUUUGUUUGAUGUUUUACAAACUGACUGAUAGUCGCAGUUUUAUUUUGCGUGCAUUAGGAAUUGAGAUGUUUUACAAACUGACUGAUAGUCGCAGUUUUAUUUUGCGUGCAUUAGGAGUUGAGAUGUUUGAUGCGCUUGGCAUGUAGUAGAAGAGCUGAUUUAACUUGUCCUUGAUGUGUAGAACCUUGUGAUUUGCCGCCGACUUUGUUCAUAUUACGGACUUCGGAGUGUUCAUUGCAAGUCUCUGUUCUGUUACUGCUGUAAUAGUAGCCCAC